rnacentral:lncRNA from 1 species
CCAGCAUGACAGGACAAAACACAUUGAGAUAGACCGGCAUUUUAUUAAGCAGAAUCUAGAAAAAAAAAAGUAAUUUGUUUUCCCUUCGUCAGGUCAGAGGAUCAACUUGCUGAUAUGCUUACAAAAGCGGUCUCCAACAAAAACUUUCACAGCUCUCUUGAAAAGCUUGGUAUCAAAGACAUUUUUUCACCAACUUGAGAGGGAGUGUUGGCAUGAGCUGUACAAACCUACACACAACAGGAAACUAUAGAUGUAAUAUUCUAGUAUAUCUUAUAUUUAUGUAAAUCCCGAUUGUUAUGGGAUAGUAUUUGAUUUCUUUCCAAAGACAGCUAGUAGAGGCAGCAGCUGCAUAGUAUAUGUAAAGAGCAAGUAUCAGAAAUAAAGAAAGACAGAAUUCUUGAAUGAAAUCUCGUCAGGUUUACAAUUAUUACAUUGCCUUCUUAUAGACAUAAAUUUUAAUUUUAAUUUUUUUUUUACUUAAAACUAUAUUAAAAUAAAAAAUAUAUUUUUAUUUUUUAAGAUUUAUUCUCAAUACUAGUAUAUAAAAACAAUAAAAAAACAUACAUUAUUGUUGUUUAUUUUUGGAGCCCACAUGCUGGAGAUGGAGUGCAUACCUUUUAAACCAUAUACAUAAAUUUAGUUUGUGAUUGUUGAAAAAUUGAUAAAAGCAUAGAAGAAAAAAAAUGUUUGGAUAAAAAAAUCCCAAAGGGAUGAAUAUCUAAAAUAUUAUUGAAAAUAAUUUGUUAUUAUUCGAUGUUAAUGUUUGGAUAAAGAAACCCUAAAUAAUUAAUAUCCAAAAUAUGUUUUUAGAAAUAAUAAGUCAUCACAUAUCAUUGAAAGAAGUUUUGAUUAUAAUUGAGGACAUUCAAUACUCCACGGUUUACGAGCCGUGAGAGUAUAAAAUACUAAGGCAAAAAUAGGCUUUUAAAGCGCUUCAAAUUUCCUUAGAUUUCUAUUUUUUGUCUUUUUCUUGUAAUUUACGAGUCGCGAAUACUUGAAAUACUAAGAGAAAAAUGAGCUUUUAAAGCAAAUUAAAUCUUCUUAAAAUUCUAUCUUACAUAUCUUUUAAUUCAAAGGUUAUAAAUUUAUUUAAAAUCAAACACAGAUUUUAGAAGAUCCGCAUCGAUUCUUUUUGGAACUCUGUAAAUAUAUCUAAAGAUAUGAUCUAUGUUGGCUAAGGAUUAUUGCUCUUUGUGACGUUGGGACAUAUAUAUAUAUAUUUUAAAAAAUAUAUUUUUAAAAAAAAUAUGCAGUUGAACGCAAAUUCAAACGAUUAGUCAAACCUACCUCGGCUUUCAAGGUUGGCACUCAUGGACGCAACUUCUGGGCCCACAAUUUGUUAACUUUCUUCUUAAUGUCCACACAUAGGGAUGAGGAGAUAGCCAUCCCUCAUGUAUCCUAGCACUUUUGAGGUUCCAGUGGUGAGAUUAAACGAUGAGCUACUUGCUUUACGACUUGGGUUUCUAAUUUCUCAUUUUUCAUUUUCAUGGUAAAAUAAUAAAUACAAUAAUUCAUGUUUCCUAUGCGUCUUCAAGUUUGUAAACUUUACCAAGCUUCGCUGUCAGAAAUUUAGGUCAUGCAUGAUCUAUCUAGAUAAUGGAAUGAGGACUGUCAUGAUCCUAUCAUUGUCCUUGGCGAUAAGAACUCUCCCUUGAAUUUAUCACAGAAUCAUGCAUUGAAUUGAGCAGUACUUCCCUUCCAAUUUAAAGGUCAUUGGGUCAAUUCAGAUAUAUCAUAAAAUUUAUAUUUAUAUGCGCCCUGUAAAACAUGGGCUAAGCUCAAUACUAAUGAAACCCAGCUUGUCAUUCAGAAAGCAUAGAUAAUGGACUCAUGACACGUAGAGUAGAGGCACAAAUUUCAAAUUAGAUUCAUGUGAUUAUUACGUUCCCUUCUUAUGAAAUUUUGACGUAAAUAUUACUUUUAAAAAUAUUUUUUACUUAAAACUAUAUUAAAAUAAAUAUAUAAUUUUUUUUUUUAAGAUUUAUUCUUGAUAUCAGUAUUUGAAAACAGUAAAAAAUAUACAUUGUUGUUACUUAUUUUUGGACCUUACGUCCUGAAGAUGGAAUGUAUCCCUUUUAAACUAUAUGCAGGAGUUUAGUUUGUUAUUGUUGAAAAAUUAACAAAAACAGAGAAAAAAAAAGAGAGAAACAAGAGAGAAGCGGGGAUUGCCUUUCGGUCUUUCCUCCCUACAAAUAAAAUCUACAGAACAAGGGAGAAGAGAGUACAAGAACCAGUAGAUAGAGAGGGAUGAAGACGUAGAAGAAAAAAGAGAGACAAACGCAAACACAAAAUAGAAGAAAAAUGGCUGAAAUAGACGAAUAAAGACAGAUUAGCCAUGAUGCCUUUAACUUCACUGCAGCUUCUUCGUUUCCGCCUCUAGGUUUGUCAUCCCCAGCAUCUGCAUGAAUCCUAGUGCAUUUGUUUCUGUUUAAGUGAAAUUUAAUUCACUUGAACAGUGAUCAGCCAAGGCACGCCUGAGGAAACUCACACAUGCCUUUUUGCCCAACCAGGUCACUGAUUUGGGCCAGUGAUCGGCUAGGCCUGCUGGGUUCAGCCCAGCCACAUGGGUCGAGCUCGACCCAGCCCCUAAAAAAACAAUAAUAUCAUUGGUUUUUGUGUGUGCGUGUAAAAAAAAAUAGUUUGCCUAACACACCCUAAUACCUUUCCCUUAGUUUGUUUUUAUAUAUAUCUUUGUUUUAUGGUUUAGCAAAACAAGCCUAAUAAAAAGCUAAAAAAACAAAACAAUUUUAAGAACCAUUUUAAAAUUAUUUAUGGGUUCAUUGUAUGUUUUUUCCAAUAAUUUCGUCUAAUAUCGGGUUGUAAACUUAUACCGUAAGAUACAUUCCCGAUAUAAAAGAUAUUUGAUUUUCUUUGAAAUUUCAAAAAAAUCCAUUUUUUUAAACAAACCUUCAUUUCAAAAACAAAAAAAUAUUUUGUUUUUGUGCAUAUGGUCAAAUCCUAAAGUUUUUUCAUGCAUAUUUUUUUAAAAGGAUAAAAUCAUAUUUUUAUCAUCUUUUAAAAAUGCAAAAUGAAUAUCAUAACUUGUUUAUAAUUAUUCAUUAGGGUUUGACCAAAAUACAAAAAAUCUCACAACAAUUAGUUUUUUGUAUCCAAAGAGUUAGAAUUUAAUUGUGAGACUUUAAUAUUUGAGACUAUAAAAUUACAUUGUAAAGUAUACCCUCAAGUAUUAAAGAUACAACAGAGAAAAUAAAUGUGAUGCUAAAUAUAGGCCUUAAAAUGAUUAAGAUUUAACCCAAUAAGUUAGAGACUUCCUCGUGAAGAAAGAUUUGUCUUGAAUCUUAAAUAAGACUAACGAAUAUAAAUAUGACCUAGAAAAAUAAUCAAUCAACAAUACAGUUUAUCUUAGGUAGGUUGUACCAAAGGUGGUACAUUUUUUCUUGCACAACUAGUCCUUUUAACUAUACUCUCACAGACCAUUUGGUUUUAUAAUGACCAUAAUACUAGGUGGUGAUUCUUGAACUCUAUAAUCAUAACUUCAUGAUUAAAUCCAAAACCCCCCCAAUUCCAAGAGGCAAUUUCGCCACACGACGUUGUCACAAUAGGAUGGUGACUCCAUAAGGGACUUGUCUGGUUGGACUGAACUUUGCUUGUUUGAUUAUUUGCCUAUUUAUUUUGUUGGCCUGUUUAAUUUUACCUAAAGAAUAUAUAUAUAUAUAUAUAUAUAUAUAUAUAUAUAUAUAUAUAUAUAUUACUGCUUUAGCAUGUGUUUUUAUAUAUUUCUCAUGUAUAAGUACAUCGGGUAUAGAUUAAUGCCUUCAUUCAUCUUGAUUUUCAAAUAAACUGAAUUCUAGGUUGGGUGGGGAGUAGCGGCCUGUCUCAUGACUUUCAGUCGGAGUUUAGAUUCAUGAAACAUAUACUAUAAGUUGAGCGUUUACUUGAUAAUGAUGGUCACAAUGUUCCCCAACCAUUUCUUGUAAACCUUUAUAAUGCCUUCAUAAAAGGUGGUCACUGGACCUAAAACCUUUAUCAUAAACCCUUUGUUAGAGAAUAUAGAGAAGCUUGUGUCAGUUUUGUGGUAUGUGGAUGAGACUUUGUUAGAGAAGAAGUAUGAGAGAAUUACCCACCUAAUAAGGAUCUCAGUUCAGAUUUCAACAAGUCAAUGCAUUUUUGGAAUCUAGGUUAUAUAUGUUUCACCUUUGGAGACAUUAACAUGACCCUUACCAUUGAAGAGUAUGUCCAUAUUUUCAACUUCACAAAUGACCCUCACAAAGUAUAUUUCAGAUAAAGCAUUGAGAAUAAAAUUGUCGAGGUUGCAAAAUUAAUGCAUCGAGACCAAGUUGAUCAAUAUAGGACGUCUAAUGAAGGAUUUUAGUGGAAGUUGAUUGAGAAUAAGUUGAAGACAGAUAAAGACAAUGUAAAGCUAGGAGAAGAGAAAUAUCAAGUAGUUGUUUUCGCCAUCUUUGGGUUAGUUUUGUUUCCUUCAGAAGCCGCUGAGAUCAUCAGUAUUGAAUUUGUCAACACUUUCCUUAAGUAUGAAUGAACAAAGAAUAACCUCAUCUCAGUUAUCUUAACUGAAACUCUCUUAUCCCUAAACCAUUAUAUACUGAAUGGAAAGAGAACGAUACGAUGUUGUGUUCCUCUACUAUUCAUAUGGAUAGUCAAUCACUUGGAGACAUUGAGAGAAGUUUUUAAUAAUUUUUUGUGGUUCAAUAUUGGGCCGAUUUUAAGCGAAUAGUGGAACAACCUAGAUGAGAAGGCAUGGGUGAAAAAUUACCAAGCACUUUAUCAUAGUAAUUUCAGGUGGAUAUCUCAUUGGGUGAAUAGUUCGUCUUAUCUUAUGAGUUGUGGUGACAAAACAUGGGUCCGACUGAUUGGUUUGACUGCUUAUAUCAGCUACUCACCCUCGCUGCUUAUACCAAAAACUUUGGGAUUAGCCAAGUAUAUUAUUUUGUUCAAAAAAAGCAAAUUUUUUAGUUAAGCUAGACGCCAUCAGAUCGAUGUAAUUGGAGUAGCUUGUUUUAGUCUACAGGGAACAUCAAAAAAAAUCCUCAACCAACCCUAAUUACUUAAUAUGGAGAAGUGGUGAAUUAUCCAGGGUGCUCAGAAGCACGAGAAUGCAAAGCCAAAAUUCAGUCAAUACGGAGGGAUCAUCCACCAUUAUAGAACCCAGAAGAAAAAUGACAAAUAAUAUCACUUUUAACCAACUGAUUGGUUAUAAGAUAUAUUAAACUAGCAAGAUUACAAUAAAAGAGAUUGGUCAGGUAGUCCAAGUGUCUAUAAUCAGUCCUUAUCUUGUUAUGUGAGCCACGAGCUAAGCUUAAUGUUAAUGGAAACUUGGUUUAUAAUUAAAUCACCUUUUUAUAUGGCGAGGCAUUAUAACUGUGAUUUCAAAUUAGAGAGCAAAUCACAUUAGAGAGCGUUCAAUCGUUGCUUUCUUCCGGGUUCCAUUUGAUUUUGUGUAUAAAAUUUUGUUUGAGUGCAUUUUAAAAUUAUAUUUGGCUUGAAAAUAUAUUAAAUUGGUUUUUUUUAAUAUAUUUUUAUGAAUUUAAUACUUUGAUGUCAAAAACAAAAAAAUCAAAAUAAAUUUAUUAUAUUGUAUUAUUAAACUAAAAACACUCUUAAAACACAAUGAAUUGCAAUAACAAACAUUAUUCCGAGGAUGUUUGAGGGUGUAGUAGUAGUUAUUUUUUAAUAUUCUUUUCACUUAGAAAUAUUUCUAAAUAAUAUAUUUUUAUUUUAUUUUUAAAAAAAUUUUAUUCAUAACAACACAACAUAUAAAACAAUCUAAAAAAUAUAUAUAUACAUACAUACAUACAUAUAUACAUACAUAUAUAUAUAUAUAUAUAUAUAUAUAUAAAUUAAUUUUAAACAAAAAUAGUUUUUGGUAUCGAACAAUUAAGUAAUAUACUAAAAGGCGUGGGGAAACUACUGUAGCUUCCCCACGCCUUUUACUUAUUUUAUUAUUAAUAUAUUAUAUUAUAUUAUAAUAUAUAUUAACUAUCUUUUUUCUUUUUCUUUUUCUUUUUAAUUUUUUUUUGGUUUGAAUUAGUUUAUUAAUGUUAAUUUUUUUUUAUUUUGAUAUCAAAUUUUUAUGACAUAGAUCCCGGGUUUGAUGGCUUAACCUGGUUUAACGGGUUAACCUGUAAUUUUUUUUUUUUAAUUAAUUUUUUUCAUUUAGUUUAGUUUGUCAAUGUUAAAUUUCUUUCUAUUUAAUUAUGACUUUUAUGACACGUAUCCCGAGCUUGACGGGUUAACUUGGUUUGACGGGUUAACCCAGUUAAUUAUAGGUAAACCUGUCAAUGUUUUUUUUCUAUUUAGUUAUUAAACUUUCAUGAGGUGGAUCCCAAGUUUGAUGGCUUAACCUGAUUUGAUGGGCUGACCCAAAAUUGUUAUUUUUUUUUUAUUAAUUUUUUUCGUUUAGUUUAGUUUGUUAAGGUUAAAUUUCUUUCUAUUUAAUUAUCAGACUUUCAUGACAUGUAUCCUAGGCUUAACAUGUUAACUUGGUUUGACGGGUUAACCCUAUUAAUUCUGGGUAAACCCGUCAAUUUUGUUUUUAUUUAGUUAUCAAACUUUCAUGACGCGGAUCUCAGGUUUGAUGGGUUAACCUGGUUUAAAGGGUUAACCCAGUUAAUUAAAUUUUUUUCCUUUUCUUCAUUAGUGUUGCUACCCAAUUUUUUACCCAUGUUUUUUUAUAUAUUUUCAAAAAAAUAAAAAAAAAAACAUUAAGAAAAAAUUUGAAAAUUCAAAAAAUAUUUUUUUUCUCUCUCUCGAGUCAACCGCAUCUCUUCAUUCAAACCAUGUUGACCAGGGUAAAAACUGAGUUUCGGGCUGUUUCGGGUCAAAAACAUCAUUUUUGACCAAAAUCGGGUUCACCGGGUCAAUACGGGUCAUACCAUGUUGACCAGGGUAAAAAAUGAGUUUCGGGUUGUUUCGGGUCAAAAACAUCAUUUUCGACCCAAACCGAGUUCACCGGGUCAAUACGGGUCAUACCAUGUCGACCAGGGUAAAAAAUGAGUUUCGGGUUGUCUCGGGUCAAAACCGUCAUUUUCGACCAAAACCCGGUUCAUCGGGUCGAUACCCAUUAAAUGUUUUUUUUGGUAUUCCAUUUUUUGGCGGUUGAAACGGAAUUUUUCUAAUACUGAUUUGAAUUUUUAGUUUUACCCAUGUAAAUAUUUUUAUAUAUAAUAAAACAAAAUUAUGGUAGUUGUGUAAAUAUUUAUUAUUAUAUAUAAUAAAACAAAAUUAUGGUAGUUGUGUGCAUUAUUUAUUAUUAUAUAUAAUAAAACAGAAUUUUAUGGUUGUUGUACCGUGGCUAUAAAUAGCCACGGGAGGGGGGCAGAAAAAAAAGGGGGGGGAAAAAAAAAAAAGGAAGAGAAAAGAAAAAAAGAAAGAAUCGAUUGAUACUAUUUCUAAUUUUUUUAGUUUUUCUUCAGGAGAGUAGGAUAUUGUCUUUUAAAAAAAACAAUUUAAAAAAUACCAAACAUAUCCCAACACAUCUCAGCCGUUAACAUAUUCCAGGAUUUAAUCCCGUUGCGCCACGUCAUCCGGUGCACCGAGCUUUCGGUGCACCGCGCCACACAGAAUCAAAACCAGACAAUCUGGGCCGUCCGAUCAACCUGCUGAUCUAGCCAAUCACAGCCAUCCGAUCGUUUCAUCCAAGAUCCAACGGUUAACAUCCUUCAGCGGCACCGGUACACCAUACACGCGUCCGCACCGUAGCAAAUCUCGGAGCAUCUCUCUCCUCUCGCCGGCGACUCUCUCUCUCUCCUCGAUCUCCACUUUCCGGCCAUAAAGUCUCCUAACCACCACAGAAAGGUUCCACUGUUAAAGUAAAACCCCGGUGGUUUUAACCGUUUUCGCCUCAUCUGGCCGGAAAAAGGCCGCGAUUCUCGCCGGCCACCGAAGCUUCAAGUCGUCGAUUCUCCCUCGUCAGCCAUCAACGGCCGUCGAGACCACCACCAACAGAAUCCUCGACCUCAGAUCUACCAGAACCGACCAUCGGUUGGCCAGAAAUCUCGCCGGAAAAUUUCGCCAUCGUCAACAGUGACAGCGCGUGAGACACACGCGCCGCCAGUGGCAUUUUCGUAAAUUUUUCAAGAAAUCCGAGGGUAUUUCAGUUUUUACCUAUACUGUGUCACUCAUGUAAUUUUUUUAGAUUGCUAAUUUUUUUUAUUUUGUAUAUAAAUUUUCUUGCAUGUUGUAAAACAAAAAAAAGAAUAACAACGCGGGUCCAACACCCAUCCUAUUAUGUCAUCAUUCGUGGGUCCAAAGCCCAAUUUUCAAAUAUAGUUAUACCCAUAUCUCAACGAUAUAAAAUAUUUUUUUUUAUAAACAAAUAUUGUUUGUCGACACGUCUCUUUUUAUAAAAAGGACCGAUGUCAAAAGUUUAAAUACCAAAUAUGGAUUAUGUCCAUAGUUUUUUUGGUAACUCAGACGUACUUCUCCUUUUUAGGGUUAAACGUCAAUAUUUUAGACAAGUCUCCUAUUUUUAGGGACUGAUGUCAUUUUUAACGUGUCUCCUAUUUUUAGGGACCGACGUUAACCAUAAAAAAAAAAUAAAAUUGCAAAUAAGCUCAAAAUAUAAUAUCAUUUAAACAAAUAAAAAAACACACAAGUAAGGGUAACCUUUCUUUUGAAAGGAUGUUUUAAGGGUGGUGUCUACCUUCCCUUAAUCAUAACUAACCCAGUACCCGAAUCUCUGGGACCAGUGUCUAAUUUGGGAUUUCUAGUUCCCUCAAAUUACUAGAUGGCGACUCCAAUAAAAUUUUCAUUUCCCCAAUUAAACAAAUCUUUUUUGUUAAAUAAACAAAAAUGAGCGGAGCCGUCGCCCGACGUCGUGUAUCGACAGAAUGGCGACUCCACUGGGGACAGGGUUGAACCAACUGCUUGUGUGUGCUUUUCAUUUUUUUUUAUUGCUAUUUAUUUUUUGAGUAUUUAUUUUAUUUGCACUAUUUAUUUUAUGCAAUAUCAAUUGUAAAUCAUUUCAUUUUUUAAUUACACAUGCAUGCAUGUUAUUUAUUUGUGUAUUCACACACUUCACAGUGAACCCAUAAAAGCUCUGGACCCGAGCUCGUCCUUUUUAAGAUUAGAAAAGAAAGAUUCAGGUGGCAAGUGUGACUUAUGUCCACUGAUGCUCAUUUGGACUUUCGCUUGGAUUGUAACUCACCCUAUGCAACGGGUAUUGUGGAAUUUUCUUCCCAUACUCAUGUUGUAUAAGGUUAAGAGGCCGACUACCCCAUGGGUAAUUCGGGCAAUCUAAGAACCAAAGAAAAUCUUUAAGAUUAGAAUCAACUGAGCCAAACCCUAUGAGCUAGAUCCUAUCAAUUAGGAUAUACCUUUAGGACACAAACAAAUAUCAAUGCAUUAACAUACAUGUUCAUAUAUAUUUCAUAUUCUCAUUAAAUCUCCACCGAUCCUCAUAGGAAGUGUGAGAUUAAAAAAACAUUACUAUUGAGGAAUUUUUGACCAGAUCAGAAUUGAACCAACAUGAUGAAAGGGAUUGUUUGCCAUCAGAACAUGGCAUCAAAUUUCUCCCCUAAAUCGGUUCAAGUCCCUGUAGGUUUGGAGUCCUCAGUGAGAACUUUCUUAAGAGAAUCUGAUCUGGUCUAUUCCUCGUUAUAAGUUUAAAAAAAAAUUGAAACCAAUAACAAACAUGCAUAAAGCAUAUGGCAUUUUGCAUCCAUUUGUGCAUUUCAUUUAGUUUACUUGCAUUCACUCAGGUUAAAAUAUAGAUCCCCCAAAAGGCCGUAAAAUUCAUUACACUCGACAACGAAGGAAGAUAAUGGAGAACGAAGAAAGGGCACACCUGGAGGCUCAUUAUCAAAGAGAGUUGGAGAACAUGAAAAAUGAUAUAGCACGACUUACAAGUCUACUCGAGCAGGCCCUAGUAUCCAAGUCUGGGGAAGGCACCUCUACUCAGCCGGCAGUUGCAACUCCAUCUAUAUCUAUGCCAUCAGCUCCCUUUGUAUUCCCGCCUCAAAAUUUAGGGGCAAAUCCCUCUUCAUUUGAACAACAGUUCACUGCCAAUGUUCCACCAGCACAAGUGCCAGUUAAUGUAAACCUGGCAACUGAUGACCCACAAAGGAUGAAAUUCUCUGAAAAUAUCGAUUAUGAUAAAUUGACCGCUCUGGAAGAGAGAUUGAAGGCAGUAGAAGGGGCAGACUUAUAUGAUCCUGUUUAUGCUGCAGAAAUGUGUUUAGUUCCAAAUGUAGUUGUACCCAGAAAAUUUAGGGUACCAGAAUUCAUCAAGUAUACGGGAACUGAAUGCCCAGUCACGCAUCUUAAAUCUUACUGCAAUAAGAUGGCAGAAGUAGUGAAUGAUGAGAAACUUCUCAUCCAUUUCUUUCAAGACAGUCUUUCUGGAUCGGCAUUAAGCUGGUAUACAAGGCUGGAUAACACCAAGAUCAGAAAGUGGAAAGAUUUGGUAAAAGCCUUUGUGGAGCAGUAUAAAUUCAACAUGGAGGUAGCCCCGGACAGGUCAAGCUUGUUAGUCAUGGAGAAGGGCAGCAAAGAGACUGUAAGAGAAUACGCUUUGAGAUGGCGUGAAAAAGCAUCGCAUGUGCAACCCUCUUUGUUAGAAAAAGAAAUGGUCACUCUGUUUUCUAACACUUUUAAAUCUCCAUACUUUGAACACCUGGUGGGUAGUUCAGCUCAGCAUUUCUAUGAUGCUGUAACUAUCGCUGAGAGAAUAGAACAAGCGAUAAGAGCGGGGAGAAUGUCAGAGCCUACUGAGAAGAAAGGCUUUACUGGGAAAAAGGAUGCCGAUGUGAACAAUGUGGAAGAAGUGUAUAAGGGUAUGAAAAAGAAUUACUAUCAUUAUAACUUCCAAAUACCUACCCAACAAGUUGCAAGUGUAAACUUCACUAAACAUUUCCCUACCAACCAACAAAAUCAACCAAAUAACCAAGAAAGUAACCAGAUUGUUAAUCCUCCAAGAAGGAAUUUUCAAAGAACCCAAGAACGACUGCCACCAUUACCACUUCCCUUAGGAGAAAUGUACUCGAAGUUGUUGAGUAUUGGGCAAAUAGCCCCUAUUCCCUUAACCCCACUGCAACCUCCAUACCCAAAUUGGUAUAAGACAGAUCUGAAAUGUGAGUAUCAUGCUGGCGCUGCUGGGCAUAACAUUGAAAGUUGUAAUGCAUUUAAGAACAAGCUUUUGCAAUUGAUAAAAGCUGGAUGGAUAUCUUUUGAUGAUGCACCAAAUGUGAAGUCCAACCCUUUGCCCAAUCAUGCAAGAGAAUUCAAAGAAGGGGAUCUUGUACUAUGAAAAUCUUGCCAUUACCAAGUGAAGACCGAAGCAAGUGGGCACCAAACUAUGAAGGCCCAUAUGUAGUGAAGAAAACACUAUCUGGAGGAGCUCUGUUGUUAAGUAGGAUGGAUGGAGAUGAUUUACCUAGGCCUGUGAACUCUGAUUCUGUGAAAAAGUAUUAUGUAUGAUGGUUUCAUCCAAUCAAAUCAAUAAAGUUUUGGCCAGGAAAUUCUCUUUGCAUUAUACCUCACCAAAAAGCCCAUGCAUGAUCUCAAUGGCUCAACAAUUUGAUCUUUCAAACUUUUUUUACAGGAGAAUCCAUUCUUCUUAAAUGAGGUUUUAAAAGAACUGAUUUUGUUUGUGAUUUCAAUGAAAUAAAUCAAUGAUUUGUUUGGAAUAAUGUUCAGAGCAAUUCCCUUGAAAGAGAUGACCAAAAAAAAAAAAACAUGCAAUUGGAACAACUAUCACCCAAAUUAUGUCUUGGAUCCACAUUUUAUCAGCAUGAAUAAUGGUUGGUAGUACAUUAGUUUGUCAUGGACUCGCAAAACAUGGUAUCUUACAAAUCCAAAGCAUUACGUUGGAUAUGGACAAAGUUUAUUGGUUUUAACUGAUCUUACUUGAAAUGAGGAAAGGCCAUCUUUGAUAUUCCUUUCACUUUCUUUAAAAUUAUCCUUUGCAGUCCCAAUUUGAGCUGAGUCUAUUUAAAGCCUUUUCUUUCAUGAGAACCUUGACUAAGAUCACACCCUACACUAGGGGGCAAAAAGAGAAAUAUGAUUAAGAAAUUGUCUUGAAGGCAUGUGAGCUUUAAAGAAAGUCUGACAACAAAGAAUUCAAAAUUCCAAACAAUUGAGAGAAUUCCUAAAUAUGGGAAUAACAAAAAGAAAACAGAAGUUCCUCAUUUGGAAUAUUAUCAUCAUUUUUGUUGUCAAGGUAGCAAAAGAAAAUGCCAAGACAAGAUAAUAGUGAUCUAUAGUUUAUAAGCCCUUAAACACUUUUUGAGCUUAUGGAAUACUCUUUCUUUUAUAGCCUUGAGCCAUAAACUACAUUAUGUGCCUUUGAAGUCCUUUCUAAUCAAGUAAGCGACCUGGAUCAAUAAAUGGCGUUCUCAAAAUAUAAGAGACUUUUUCAUCAAGAGUCAUGGCGUAGCAAAUAAUUACUCGUUAUUAUUCAUGCUGUUAAAAAGAGUGUUUCUAAAGAUAAAAGGCAAAUUGUUUCUUUUCUCUCAAAAUACCUUCAAGCAAUCGCUUGAACACUUUGAAAACCAAAGCAGAAGGUCAUCUCAUCACUUACCUUCAUCUUAGAUUACUUUUACCAAGAGAUUUGACAUAAAGCCCCAGAAUUGCCUGAACAUUGUUAUAAACAGACAUUGAGAGUUUCAGUUUUCUGGAACAAAACAGAUCUUUUAAAAAAUCAUUUUUGAAAAAAGGUUUUCUUUGUAAGAAAAAUGAGCAUAUAACACGUUAUGAGGCACCAUUAGAAAAUCAGAGAUUCUAAUGACAACAAGAGCAAAGGAGGAAAUGAAAUGAGGCAGUUAAUUCUCCCAGGGGGCAGAGAAGCAGUUACCAGAUCCUUAACAGCAAAGAAAUUUGCUUCCCUAGUGGAAAAUACACAUGAUAAAACUGUGGACUUCUUCUAGCAUGCGGACUGAAAUAGUAUGAUUUUCAGUAUCUAUGAAAGGAGAUUGUUGACUCUUACAAUAUGAUCAGUUAGACAACAAGAUAACUGAUACAUCUUCAGUAAGAGAAAUGCAGAUGAAAUCUCAGGACAAUGUCGGGCCACGGAGAAGCUGAUUCUCUUAGUGAAGUUACCAAUAGAGAAACGUGCAGUGACUGUUGGGAAACUCAAAAAAUGGACAACAUGGGUCAGCUUGAGUAGACUUGAAGUACGCGUAAAUCAAAAGAGCUCACUCAAAGUCAAAACCCUCAAACAAGAUGAACGGGGAUCUAUAUUUCAAAAACAGGUAAGAUGCAUUGCAUAUCAUCUCACUUCACAAGCAUCGCAUAUUUGUUUUGCAGAUAUCUCUCGAAACAAAACUCCUCAUGGGAUCCAACGAGACAAAGAUGAAUUGAAGUUCUUUAAAUCAUAUCAAUAUGGCAAUUCCACAAAGGCAAAAUUCAUGAAUGAAGACGAGAAGAUGGAUUUUUAUUCAUAGGCAUAAUGGUUUACAAGUACAAACGUUAAACACUGUGAGGACGAUUAGGGAUAUUUUCAUCUUGAUGGCCAAUCAUGCCUCGGAAUUCCUCAAAUUGCUUAUGCAUGCGCUCCAUCUCUUCCUCGAACUCGAGGUGUCGAGUGUUAACAUAGUCCCUCCAAAAGUCAACACGUGCAUUGAGCUCUUGGUUUCUCCUCUCCAAUUCGUUCCUGUAACGUCUCUCAUCAUGGAGCCUUUUCCUUAAAUUCUCAAUCUGAUUAUGGAGCUCAGGAAUUUGAGUAUUCAACUCAAGUCUUCUGGCAUGAAGACGCUCCGCAACAUUCACCAAAGACGAAGUAGCUCUGAUACUAAGAGCAAGUGACUGAUUCACUGCUUCAAUAUCGGUCCUCGCUGCCAGCAUCAUUUCAUCACGAGGAAGGAUCAUGUCUCUAGCCACGGCUACAGCGGUAUCUUCAUCGUCCAUUACAGUAUCCUCUAUUGUAACUGGACGACCAUUCACUUCAAAGGUUGUACGCCAAACUACAGGCUCUGCCGCAGGAACAAGGUUUGGAUUAGCAUUGGAAGAAGAGGAAGACAUGGUUAAAACUUCAAAAGUUAAGAACUUUGAGAGUAUUGAAAAUGUGAGAAGUGGAUGAUGUCUUUUGCCCAAUAUUGCGUGAUUUAUAGGGAAUUUGCUCCGGCCAUCAUUUUCAAUAGAAGAUCAGAUCUUAGCCGUGGAUACAAACUUCCUGGGAAGUUUUCCUCAUCUUUGGGAUCCAUUUUCAAAUCAAAUCCCAACCGUACAUAUAAGACUUUCUUGAGAAGUUUCCUGAUCCAUUCACAACUCAGAUCUCAACUGUACAUAUAAGACUUUCUUGAGCGUCGUCUUUGAGAUUGAUUUGCAAAUCAGAUCUCAACUGUACAUGUAAGACUUUCUUGAGUGUUAUCUUUGAGAUUGAUUUGCAAAUCAGAUCUCAGCUUUACAUAUACGACUUUCGUGAGAAGCUUACAUCAUCUUUGAGAUCGAUUUACAGAUCAAAUCUCAACCGUACAGGUAUGACUUCCUUUAGAAGUUUUCAUCAACCCUGAAGCUCAUUCACUUUCAAGCAUUUUAUCAUCGGGCAGGUCGCCUGGAACAAUUAGACCACUUGCGAUUUUCAUCGCAUUUUAUCAUCGGGCAGGUCGCCUGGAACAAUUUGACCACUUGCGAGUUUCCUCGCAUUUUAUCAUCGGGCAGGUCGCCUGGAACAAUUAGACCACUUGCGAUUUUCAUCGCAUUUUAUCAUCGGGCAGGUCGCCUGGAACAAUUAGACCACUUGCGAGUUUCCUCGCAUUUUUUUUUCAUUCAUUGGGCAGGUCGCCUGGAACAAUUAGACCAUUUGCGAGUUUCCUCGCAUGUUUUUUUCAUUUAUCGGGCAGGUCGCCUGGAACAAUUAGACCACUUGCGAUUUUCAUCGCAUUUUAUCAUCGGGCAGGUCGCCUGGAACAAUUAGACCACUUGCGACUUUCAUCGCAUUUUAUCAUCGGGCAGGUCGCCUGGAACAAUUAGACCACUUGCGAGUUCCCUCGCAUUUUAUCAUCGGGCAGGUCGCCUGGAACAAUUAGACCACUUGCGAGUUUCCUCGCAUUUUUUUUCAUUUAUCGGGCAGGUCGCCUGGAACAAUUAGACCACUUGCGAUUUUCAUCGCAAUUUAUCAUCGGGCAGGUCGCUUGGAACAAUUAGACCACUUGCGAGUUUCCUCGCAUUUUAUCAUCGGGCAGGUCGCCUGGAACAAUUAGACCACUCACAAAAUUCUUUACUUCACAUUCUUUCUAUUUGGGUAGGUCGCCCAUCACAACGAGACCACUUCAUCAUAUUUUUUCCAUCUGGGUAGGUCACCCAUUACAAUGAGACAACACUUCACAUUAUUUUCCACCUGGGUUGGUUACCCAUUACAAUGAGACCACUCUUUCCUUUUUGGGUAGGUCACCCAUUACAAUGAGACCGCACUUCAUAUUCUUUAUAUUUGGGUAGGUCACCCAUCAUAAUGAGACCAUUUUUUUUUCACAUUCUUUCCACCUGGGUUGGUUACCCAUUACAAUGAGACCACGUUUUACACAUUCUUUGGUUUUGGUAAAGGAGGUCGCCAGAUGGGAUCUCAGGUUAACGAAAAAAAGAGAGACAGAAAGACAAGUUUUUUUCUUUACAAAGCUUACUAUGCAAAACAUCGAGGAUUUUUGCUUCGUAAGCAUUGUAAAGAGGGGGCAUCUGUUGCUACCCAAUUUUUUACCCAUGUUUUUUUAUAUAUUUUCAAAAAAAUAAAAAAAAAACAUUAAGAAAAAAUUUGAAAAUUCAAAAAAUAUUUUUUUUCUCUCUCUCGAGUCAACCGCAUCUCUUCAUUCAAACCAUGUUGACCAGGGUAAAAACUGAGUUUCGGGCUGUUUCGGGUCAAAAACAUCAUUUUUGACCAAAAUCGGGUUCACCGGGUCAAUACGGGUCAUACCAUGUUGACCAGGGUAAAAAAUGAGUUUCGGGUUGUUUCGGGUCAAAAACAUCAUUUUCGACCCAAACCGCGUUCACCGGGUCAAUACGGGUCAUACCAUGUCGACCAGCGUAAAAAAUGAGUUUCGGGUUGUCUCGGGUCAAAACCGUCAUUUUCGACCAAAACCCGGUUCAUCGGGUCGAUACCCAUUAAAUGUUUUUUUUCGAUACCCGAUCAACCUGCUGAUCUAGUCAAUCACAGCCAUCCGAUCGUUUCAUCCAAGAUCCAACGGUUACCAUCCUUCAGCGGCACCGGUACACCAUACACGCGUCCGCACCGUAGCACAUCUCGGAGCAUCUCUCUCCUCUCGCCGGCGACUCUCUCUCUCUCCUCUAUAAUCUCCACUUUCCGGCCAUAUCACGCCUCCUAACCACCACAGAAACGUUGAUCCACUGUUUUAAAGCAAACCCCCGGCGGUUUUAACCGUUUUCGCCGCCUCAUCUGGCCGGAAAAAGGCCGCGAUUCUCGCCGGCCACCGAAGCUUCAAGUCGUCGAUUCUCCCUCGUCAGCCAUCAACGGCCGUCGAGACCACCACCAACAGAAUCCUCGACCUCAGAUCUACCAGAACCGACCAUCGGUUGGCCAGAAAUCUCGCCGGAAAAUUUCGCCAUCGUCAACAGUGACAGCGCGUGAGACACACGCGCCGCCAGUGGCAUUUUCGUAAUUUUUCAAGAAAUCCGAGGGUAUUUCAGUUUUUUACCUAUACUGUGUCACUCAUGUAAUUUUUUUUAGAUUGCUAAUUUUUUUUUAUUUUGUAUAUAAAUUUUCUUGCAUGUUGUAAAACAAAAAAAGAAUAACAACGCGGGUCCAACACCCAUCCUAUUAUGUCAUCAUUCGUGGGUCCAAAGCCCAAUUUUUAAAUAUAGUUAUAGCCAUAUCUCAACGAUAUUAAAAUAUUUGUUUUUAUAAACAAAUAUUUGUUUGUCGACACGUCUCUUUUUAUAAAAAGGACCGAUGUCAAAUAAAAAAGUUUAAAUACCAAACAAAUAUGGAUUAUGUCUAUAAUUUUGUUUUUUUUUGGUAACUCAGACGUACUUCUCCUUUUUAGGGUUAAACGUCAAUAUUUUAGACAAGUCUCCUAUUUUUAGGGACCGAUGUCAUUUUUAACGUGUCUCUAUUUUUUUUUAGGGACCGACGUUAACCAUAAAAAAAUAAUAAAAUUGCAAAUAAACUCAAAAUAUAAUAUCAUUUGAAACAAAUAAAAAAACACACAAGUAAGGGUAACCUUUCUUUUGAAAGGAUGUUUUAAGGGUGGUGUCUACCUUCCCUUAAUCAUAACUAACCCAGUACCCGAAUCUCUAGGACCAGUGUCUAAUUUGGGAUUUCUAGUUCCCUCAAAUUACUAGAUGGCGACUCCAAUAAAAUUUUUAUUUCCCCCAAUUAAACAAAUCUUUUUUGUUAAAUAAACAAAAAUGAGCGGAGCCGUCGCCCGACGUCGUGUAUCGACAAUUAGUUUUUUUCUUCCUAUUGGUUUUUUUUUUCUUUGGUUUUUUUCUUUUUAAUUAUCACGUUUUUAUGACACGACCUUAUAGCCAGACCCACAUCCAAUGCUCUUGGGUUCAGUGUUGCAACCAGACUCAUUUAAACUUAAGUCAUGUAAGUUUAAUAUUUUUAUUCAUAUUAUAAAUAUUACUCUAGGGUCAAACGCUGCAGUCAAACCCAAGACUCUUGGGUAUAACUUUGAAGAAUGGCCUAACACUUUUAUUUUAUUUUUUAAUAUUUUUUAUGUUAAAAACAUUAACUCGCGGCAUCGCGCGGGUCUCAUGCUAUUUGUUAAUAUUAAAGAACUCUAAAAUGCAUAAGUUCUUCACUGUAGCGUUUUUUUUUUGUUUCUUCUGUUUUUACAUAAACACUUGACUUUUUCUUUUUUUUCCUUUUUUUUGCCUAUGGUUUUUUUUUUUUGCUUUUUUCUUUGUGUUUUUUUUUCUUUUAAUGAUUUUUUUUGUUUAAUUUAGUUUGUUAAUAUGAAAAAAAGUUUUUAUUUAGUUAUCAUACUUUCAUGACACGGAUCUCAGGUUUGACGGGUUAACCUGGUUUAACGAGUUAACUUGAAUUUGUUUUUCUAUUUAGUUAUCAAACUUUCACGACAUGAAUCCAACAUUUAAUGGGUUAACCCAAUUAAUUCAUAUUUUUUUUCUUUUUAUUCAUUAGUUUUUUUCUUUCUAUUGGUUUUUUUUUCUUUUUAAUUAAUUUAUUUAAUUAUCACACUUUUAUGACAUGACCUUGCAGCCAGAUCCGCAUCCAAGGCUAUUGGGUCUGGUAUUGGAGCGAGACCUACUGGGUCAUGCAAGUUUAAUAUUAUUAUUAUUAUUAUAAAUAUUAUUUUUGGGUCAUGCGUUAUAGCAAACCCAAGAUUCUUGGAUAUAGCUUUACAGAAAAACCUCAUAUUUUUAGAUCUUAGUUUUUUUUGGUAUUUUUUAUACAAAACAAAUUAACCUGCAGCAUCGCGCGGGUUCCUGAACUAGUGGCUUCCAUGACCCGUGGUGGCAUAAAUUUCAAGGUAAAAUCAUUUUAUUUUUUUUUAGUUCCACGACACUGUAAAUUUACAAUAAUUGUAAAUUGACAAUAAUAGGAUAGGACGCUGGAUUGAUUGGAUAAUUUCUUUUGUAGUUUUGCACUUAUGGACAAUUUCUGGACCCCACAAUUUUUUUCUUAACCUCUCUCCCUUGUGCCCACACAUAGCAAUUGGCAGAUAGCCACUCCUUUAGUCUUUUGUAGCACCAAUUAGCAUCGUCGCCUAACCCCUUCAGUCUCUUUCUCCUUUUCAAAUCGAUAUAAAUCGCCUAACGCCUGAGGAUUUUUUUUUUCAUACAUAUAUAUAUAUAUAUAUAUAUAUAUAUAUAUAAUUGUGUUUAAGUUGGAAAGAUGGUAAUUUAAUAUUUUUAAUUUAUUUUAAUAAUUUAAUGUGUUAAUAUCAAUAAUAAUAAAAAAUUAUUAGUUUAAUAUUUUUUAAAAUAUAUAUUUUAAAAAAGCACAACAUGAAAUAUUAAAAAAAUCACAAUUAUAUAUAAAAAAUCAUAAUUUAAAAAUUUUAUUUAUAUUUUGUUAAAAAUAUUAAAAAUUAUAUUUUGUUAUCACAAUUAUCUAUUUUUUAGAUUUUUUUACUAGUAAUCAUCUAUAAUAUCUAUAUAAUUUGACUUUAACUGAUUGGAUCAAGUUAGAUAAUAUAAAUAUUAUAAAUGAAUUGGUUUUUUUAAACGCUCUUAUUUUAUAUUGAUUUGUUUUCAUGGUAUAGCUAGAUAUUUCGAACCAUUUUAUAUAUAGAAUGAUUUUUUAUUUUGAAUAGUUUUAAGAAACAAUCCUUUAUAUUAACCUAAUACGUUAAGAAAAAUAAUUUUUUAAAAGAAAUAAAUGUUAGUAUCAAUUUCUUUAACCCUGGCUAUCCUUUAGCUUAACCUUUGAAUUGAUUAACAAAAUAGAAGGUGAGAUGUGCACAUCAAAACCAUCUCUUGCUGAUGAAAGAUUGUUGGGUCAGCAGCGACGAUAUUUACGAUGGUUGCAGCAAGUUUUCACUCCCCCAAGUCCACAUUUCCUCAUCUUAUUGGUCUAAAAAUGCAAGGACAAUUAAAUUAAAGCCUCACAUGUCUCACAUGUAAUUAUCUUAAUUAAAUUAACCCCCUCCCCCCACCUCUAUAUAUAUACUCGCUCAAUAUUUCCAUCGUCUCAUCGGAUCAAAGCAUACACAAAACCAUGGUGGAAACGGUAUGAUAUGUAUAUUUGUGUGUGUUAAUUUAUCUUUUAAUGCAUCCUCUUAAUUUGGCUUUUCUUCUUUUUACGUGGAGGUCCUAUAUAUGUUACGUACAAGUUCUUGAUAAUCUCUACAGCGAAUUCUUCCAUGUCAGAACAUGUUUUGAGUUCUUCAAAUCUUUCUGUCUAUAAAUUUAUCAUGACGACGUUUUUUAAUGUUUUCUAUUGGGAUUAAUCAUGGUGAGGUCCUAAAUGAAAUGCAUGCACUAACUACGUACUAUCGUUACAGCAAGUCACAAAGAUGGUGAUUAAGGUUGACCUUGGAUGCGAAAAAUGCCACAAGAAAAUCAAGAGAGUACUGUGUGCUAUCCCUCGUGAGUCUUUCUUUUUUCUCUUUAAAAACAGUACUGCUACGUUUGAGUUGUUUUUAUUACCAAAGGAAGUGACUAAGUUUUGUGGAUUGAUGAUGUUAAUUAAUGAACAAUAGAAAUCCAGAACCAGGCAUAUGACAAGAAGGAAAAUAAAGUGACAAUCACUGUGGUGUGUUGCUGUCCUGAAAAGAUCAAGAAAAAAAUAUACUGCAAAGGAGGUAAAGCUGUCAAGUGCAUUGAGAUCAUCAAACCGACUCCGAAACCACCACAGCCUAAAUCGGAUCCACAGCCACAGACACAGUCUAACCCGCCUCCACAGACACAGACACAGACACAGCCACAGCCUGACCCGCCUCCACAGACAAAGCCUGACCCGCCUCCACAGACAAAGCCUGACCCGCCUCCACAGACACCCCGAAGGACAUGUUGUGCUGAAUGCUACAAUGGGAUUAGUGGAGGCCCAUGUUAUCAAGCUUCUGGAAGGCCAACACGUCCAUGUGAUGUACCUUGUGGAAGGCCAACACGUCCAUGUUAUGUACCUUGUGGAAGGCCAGUGUGUGAUAUAUGGGCAGUUGGUGGCUGUAGUUGCCGAAGUAGGGGUUACUAUGUGUGUAGAUGUGAAUAUGUUUAUGAAGACUAUCCCCCGGCAUGCAAAAUCAUGUAAAGGGAAAUUAAGUUCAGAAGAUCGAUGGUUUGAGUCAACGUCCAGCAUCAACCGUUGGAUUCAAAUCCAGUGGUCAUGAUGCAUGGGCCUUUGUGUUGUUACAUGUUUGGUCAGGCAAAUAUGGGAGGCUUUACUACAUGUUUAUGCUAUCUUAUCUUUGUAUAGCACUCCUGGGAUUUUGUCCCUUUGAAUGUUUUCUUCCAAAGUGCUAUUAUAUUGAAGUACUUUUUUUUUUAAAUAAAAUUAUUCUUAAUAUAGAAUAUUAAAAUUAUCUGAAAAUACAUAAAAAGAUACAUAAAUUGAAAAUACAUAAAAUACAUAAAUUGCACUGCAUUGAUACUCGUGUUUAGACUCAAAAUAAUAAAAUAAAAACCUAAGUACCUCACUUCUAUAACUCCAUUAAACAGGGCCAAACUACCUAUCCAUCCAAAAUAUAAUAAAAUAAAACCCCCGGAUAGAUCUUAAUCAUUUUUCAAACAAAGUCUUCAAGGAGAAACUCUUUUCACUAUCUUUAAUUAAUCUUCAAGCCAAUCACGAAAAACAUUCAAGUUAGGGUUCCAAUUUGCUUCCCGAUGGACACAGUCAGUAAGCAACAUGUUUCGCGGUACGUCUAAACACUGGCUAUGGUAUUAUCCCCAUGCAAAUUUUGUUUAUUAAUUGAUAAUAUGUUUUUCAUUCCAUAAAACCUUAUGAAUAAACUCAUAUAAUUUAUAAUAUUUUACGCAGAGAGACCAUCCUCUGUGAUUAAACAAUUAGGUCAACAAGGUUGGUGAGAUGUAUAAAUAUUAUUGUAGGGUCACGUACGUAGUUACAAUUAUUGCAAAUAAAAGCAAAAGCUUCCAUUUUCCAAGGUGACGGUGGUGAUAGUGACGGUGGUGGUGCGUGCACCUCCGUUUCUUUCACUUUCAAUUGCUUUCUUCAAUCCUUGACCGUUUGAUUGCUUCUGUGGUGUAGACGUGAGCAUGCUUGUGUCCUGGAAAACAUGGUGCCACCCAGCCAUGCCUGAUGAUCCAAACGAGAUAAUGAAAUUUGGAUUAUUAUAUACUCUAUAAAUUAAUUAGGAUUGUACUUGGAGAGAAGAAUAAUCCCUUUAUCAGCAUACAUAAUAAUCGAAGACCAAUUUCCUUUUCAUUAUGUAUAUAUCUAGUUUUAUGUGAAGCCAUGUAAAGCUCUCUUAAUCUGGAGAUAUAUUAUCAUUGGUUGACGUUAUUUGACUCGUUUCUUUUCUAUCUCCUUUACACAUCAAUUAAUUGGUUGGGAUGACAGAAGAAGAAUGCUACCAUGGGAUAGGUUAGCGAGCUGUCAAUGAAAAUGUAAGGAAGCAAUGGAGAUUUUGAAGGGGUUAUUGUAAUCUCCAUUGACUUGUACGGAAGAAAUAGUUGUUAAUUAUACCCACUUAGUUGAUUCAUAAAAUUUAUGUCCUAAAAGGUUGCCAUAAUAUAUUGAUAUGACUAAACUCAAUUAAUCAGACUAAAUUUUUAAUUAUUUGAUUUACUUGGUCAAUUUCUAUCAAAACUUGAACGGGUUAACAUCAUUCUUUUAAAUAAUAAAACAAACAUGCUUUAAUAAUAAAAAAUCAGCUGCAAUUAACUUGAUUAUUUAAUUUUUACUUGGUUUUCACAUAAAAUAAUAAUAUUUUUUUCUUUUAAUAAGUGCAAUCUUGUAUAAAUUAUUUUUUCUUUAAUUUUAUUCAAUUAUUUUUGUGUUUGUGUCAAUUUCUAUUAUCGUUUGAUUAAAUAGAAGAUUAAGUUUAAUAAACAAAGUUAUUAAACGCAACCAGGUACAUGAUUCAUAUUGGUAGAUUAAAUAUUUUGAUCUAUAUCUAUCUUUUCAUUUCUCAAAUUUAGUCCUUAAUUAUUGUUAACGAUUUUAUUUAUUUAUUUAUUAGUACAAAUAAUUCUAAAUUUAUUUAAUUGAAUGUAUACAUAAGUUUUUUAUAUAUAAUAAGAAUUUUUAACAUUAAAAAAUAUAAUGAAAGAACUUGAUUAUUUAUUUAUUUAUUUUAUUAGAAAGAAUAAUAUCUAACCCACAACAAUGCACUUUCACGAUAGCUGUCGCGGGGGCGCGACGUCGUCUGGCGACGGCGGAGGCUCUUUGUCGUGCCUCCUGUGUGAGGUGUGUUGUGUGUUGGAAAGGGUUUUGGAUUUAAUCAUAAAAUUAUGAUUAGUGUAAGGAGUCACCACCUAGUACUAUGGUCACUAGGAACCUAUGGUCUGCGAGAGUCCGAGUAAGGGAUUGGUUAUGCAAGGGGGAAGACGCAUCACCCCUAGUGAACCCUACCUAAGGUAAGUUGCAUUGUUGUUUGAUUGUUUUUUUUCUAAGUAGGGUUGGUCUUUUCUAAGGUUCAAGGCAGAUCUCUCUUCAUGAGAGAAUCUCUAUCUUAUCGGGUUACAUCCUAACCAUUCUAAAUUUUGAAUUUUAGCAUCGCAUUUACACCUUGUAUCUUUAAUACCUGAGGGUGUAAUUUAUCGUGUAAUUUUACACCCCACAAAUAUUAAAGCCUACAUCUGGAUCUUAAAAAAAAGAUUGGACAAAUAUUUUUGACAUGGUGGCCAAAUCUUAAUGGAUAAUCAUAAACUGGUUAUGAUAUCCAUUUUUUGAUUUAAAAAAAAAAACAUGAAAAGAUGCAAUUUUUUUUCUUGUUUUUUUUUUUAUCAAAAAUAUGCUUGAAUAGGAUUUAGUCGUAUGCAACAAUAUAUAUAUAUAUAUUGAAAAUGUUUUGAUUUUUUUUUGAAAUAUUUCGGAGAAAAACGGGUAUUUUAAUACCGGAUUUGUAUUUUACAAUGUAAAUAUACAACCCGAUAUUAUGCAAAAUGGAUAGAAAAAUAUUUGAGAAAAUCACAAAUUUUUUAAAAUGAUUUUUGCAUUUUUUUUGGAUUUUUUUGUUUUUUGUUUUUUUUUUAAAUAAUAAUAUUAUAAUAUAUAUUAUAUUAUAUAAUAUAAAAUAUGUGUGCUGGGCCGGCCUAGCUAGCCGGGCCGAGCCCAGCCUACAAAAGGGUGGGCCGUUAUCGGUCCAUAAAUUUGGUCUGGGCCGAAUCAGGUCCAGCCCAUCUCCAUGUUAAUUAUUUCUGCAUAAACGUGUAACUGUUCACGUUUUGCAUGCAACCAAACGGUUGCAGAAGGUGUAGGUGGGCGGAGGAGAAGACUAUCAUCAGCGGUGGUCACAGAUGUGAUUAAAAGGUUGAGCUGAUGGCUCGGGCGGCGUCGCUGGGAGCAACGGUGGCCGGAGUCGAUCACGGGGAAGGAAGAAGGAUUCUGCAGAGGUGAGAGAGAGGAAAAAACGGUGACAGUUUCAGGUGUGGGGGGUGGUCGGCUUGUGGUUGGGAUAGACACCUGUGGUGGACAUGGUGGCGGAGAAGCUAUUUGUGGCUCUGUUUGGUGGCUGCGGCGGCGGAGAGAGAGACUGCAAAAACGGAGCAGUGGGGGGCUGGUUUUUUGUCAACUUUUGACUCGAUUUUCUCCUCCCUCAGGUCAUCAACAGAGCCUCUAUUUAUAGAAGGUGGAAGAGGGUAAUCUCGUCUACACCGAGGUAAAAUUUCAGCCAUUGAUUCAGUUGGGAAGGAUCCCAACUGUUGGCCCAAAGUAGGCAUCCUGAGUUGUCAAUUCUGCAGAAAAAGCUGCCUGAGUGGGCAUGUUUAGGCCGGCGCCGGCGUCGAUUUGCUGUCAUUUAGACUACAAGCUUCACAUGGGGGUGUAGAUUGACUGUAGAGGAUCAUUUUCGUGCAAGUUUGGUCAAAUUCCGUGCACGUUUGGUGCAUUAAAUGCACUUGAAAAGUAGGCGGACGGGCAGUUUCUUUCGGGUAAAAAAAAAGGACAACAAACAGUGACUAGACAACGCGUUGUCUGGUCUUCUCUUUUUUUUUUCUUUUUUUUUAACGCAAAACGGCGCCGUUUUAGGUUUAAAUUAGGGAUUUUUACUCAUUUUUAAUUUAGUCCCUGAUCUUUCAAUUUCUUUCAAUGGAACCCCUAAUUGACACAAAACUUUCGAUUUAAUGCAAUUAAACCCCUGAUGAACUUCAAUUGCAGUUUCGUAUUUACGUGCCUUUUGCAAUAUGGUCCUUGGUCUCAGAAUUUGUCAAUUUAACCCAUAAUUGACCAUUAUACUUUCAAUUUCUUCAAUCCCCCCCGGUUUUUGUCAAUUGAAACCCCAUAGUUUGUUGCCUGUUGCAGAUUGGUCCCUAUUCUCGGAUUUCUUAAAUUUAACCCUAAUUGACCCCAAAACUUCAAUUUUCUUUCAAUUUGGCCCCCAAUUUCAAUCAAUUAAUUUGGUAAAAUUAAAUUUGGUCUUUUAAAAUUCUAAUCUUCUCAAUUAAGCCCAAAUUAAGCUCUCAAACUUAAUUUUUCAUCAAUUAAGCCUCAAAUACAAUUAAUUUGACUAGUUUAAAGUAUAAUUAAGUGCUUGCACUUAAUUAAAUCUUUCAAUUGGACCCAAAUUAAUUCUUAAAAUUUAAUUUGGCUCAUGAUUAAAUCAAAUUGGCAUAUUAAAAUUUUAAUUAUGUCCUUGGACUUAAUUUUUCACUAAUUAAGCCCCAAAUAAAACUAAUUUGACCCAUUUAAAGUAUAAUUAAGUCCUUGCACUUAAUUAAAUCCUUUAAUUGAACCAAAAUUAAUUCUCAAACAUAAUUAAAAUUUAAUUUGGCCCAUGAUUAAAUGAAAUUGGCCUAUUAAAAAUUUAAUUAUGUUCUUGGACUUAAUGUUUAUGCAAAUUCAUCCAAUAAUCAUUUAAUUUGACCUUGAAUUUGCAUUGUUUUCUCUAUUGUUUGGGCAUAAUGGGGUACAAUUAGGCCUUGAAUUUUCCUCAAAAAUUACAGCUUGAUUUCCCGGCCUACUUUUUCCACUUUGCUAGCCUUUAUUUUAUUUCUUGAUUUUUAUCUUGAAAAAGAAGUUAUUUUUUGGGAAUAACCCAGAAUUGAGUUAUGACAGUUGCCCCUCUCUUUACAAUGCUUACGAUAGAAAAUCUCGUAAGAGACUUUAGAUAGUAAGCGUUGUAAAGAAGAAAAAGAAAGAAAAAGAAGAAUGAGAGAUGAUGGAAUGAUUAAUCCUUUUGAGGGCUAGAAAGCGCACUCAAGGUGAAAACUGGAAGAUUUAUCUUCUGAAAAUUCAGAGAUUUUGAAGUGGUCGAAUUAUCAUGGGUGACCUACUCAGAGAAAAUUGUAAUGGGUGACCUACCCAGGUGAAAAAUGCAAAGAUUUUUCAAAGUGGUCUUGUUGUAUUGGGCGACCUUCAAAGUGUUGAAAAAAACGAAGGUGAGAAAUGCAAAGAUUUUUCAAAGUGGUCUUGUUGUAAUAGGCGACCUGCCCAGGUGAAAAAUGCAAAGAUUUUUCAAAGUGAUCUUGUUGUAAUGGGCGACCUGUCCAAAUGAAAAACUCACAGAUUUUUUCUACGUGAUGAAAAAUGCAGAGAUUUUACAAAGUGGAGAAAAAUACAGAGAUUUUUCAAAGUGGUCUUGUUGUAAUGGGCGACCUAGCCAAAUGAAAAAUACAGAGAUUUUUCAAAGUGUUGAAGAAUACGAAGGUGAAAAAUGCAAAGAUUUUUCAAAGUGGUCUUGUUGUAAUGGGCGACCUGCCCAGGUGAAAAACUCAUAGAUUUUUUUCUACGUGAUGAAAAAUGCAGAGAUUUUUUGAAGUGGUGAAAAAUACAGAGAUUUUUCAAAGUGUUGAAGAAUACGAAGGUGAAAAAUGCAAAGAUUUUUCAAAGUGGUCUUGUUGUAAUGGGCGACCUGCCCAGGUGAAAAACUCAUAGAUUUUUUUCUACGUGAUGAAAAAUGCAGAGAUUUUUUGAAGUGGUGAAAAAUACAGAGAUUUUCCAAAGUGGUCUUGUUGUAAUAGGCGACCUAUCUAGGUCAAAAUUUUGAAGGAGGUGAAAAAUGCGAGAAUUUCUUAAAAUGGUUUCAUUGUAAUGGGCAAUCGGCCCAAAAUGAAAGAUUUUGAAGGUGGUGAGAAAUGCAAGGAUUCCUAAAAAAAAAUGGUUUCAUUGUAAUGGGCAACUGGCCUAAAUGGAAGAUGAAAAAAGUUUUCAAAAAGGUCUAAUUGUGAUGGGUGACCUACCCGGGUGAAAUGUCUUGAAGAGACGACAUGAUAGGGCUCGAAGGUGCACUAUUCAAGAGACGGAAACUCAAGGAAGCGUUCAAAAAAAGAUAGGACUCAAAGGGGAACGAGGGCUGAAAAGCGUUCUGGAAAGGGGGUAGGAUUAGAAAACGCAUUACGUUCAAAGGCGAACUUGAAAGGAGACAGGGUUAGAAAACGCACUACCUAUGAGGUGAGGGUUUGAAGGCGUACUUAAGAAGAGGUAGGGUUGGAAAACGCACUACCUAAAGUGGUUGAGGGCUCUAAGGAGCACUAAAAAAGAAGUAGGGUUAGAAAAUGCACUACCUAAAAUGGUUGAGGGCUCAAAGACGCACUCAAAAUGAGAUAGGGUUAGAAAAGACACUACCCAAAAGGUGAGGGCUCGAAGGCGCACUAAAAAAGAGGUAGGGUUGGAAAACGCACUACCUAAAGUGGUUGAAGGCUCUAAGGCGCAUUCAAAAUUAGAUAGGGUUAGAAAACACAUUACCCAAGAGGUGAGGGCAUGAAGACGCACUCAAAAAGAGGUAGGGUUGGAAAACGCACUACCUAAAGUGGUUAUGUAAACCCCAAGAAAAAUAAAUAAAUAAAAGUGAAGGAAUUCAUGGAUAUGGUUUAAAAAAAAAAUUAGGAAUUUAGAGAUUUUUGAAUAUGAAUUUCCAGGUGAAAUAAUUCGAGAUAUUAUAAUGAACUCGGUAUUGUUGAGGGUUAGAUUUAAUUGAAGAGAAAAAAAAAUAAAAUACACUUGAAGGAAAACGGGGGGUUAAAUGCAAAUAAGGAAAAAUAUAGAGUAUAAUUACUCUCUCCUCACCAAAACAAAAUCUGUAGGAACCAUAAGGAGAGAUGAUAGAGAGUUUUAUACCCAUUCUUGAAAAAUCAAGAGAGAAACACUAACAUUUCAAGAACCCAUCCAAGAUUUAGAGCUUAUAGAUGGGAUAAACACUUGAGAGCAAAGGAUUACCAAGAAAUUGAACAAGAAGAAAAGAAAGGAGGGAGUUGAAAAUCUUCAACUGGUUGAAGAUCAAGAUCUUAAUUUGUAUCGGGUAAGGUAUUCUAAACAUGAUCUAAAAAAAAAUCAUUUUAAAAUUCGAUAAAGAAUUGAUGCCUUGAUAUUGAAUCAUAGGUUAGGGUUCUUAGACAUAAAUUGGGGGGAAAGUACUUAUUAUUGAGAUUAAGUUAAUUUAUAUGUGUGGUAUGUAGUUUAUGAAAGUAUUGUGUGAAGGUGAGGGGGAGACAACUCUGGACAGACUUGUCUCCUGACUUUCGGUGAGAUUUUGGAUAGGAGGAUGAGGGAAUUAGGAUUGGAUUCCUUAUAGAAAUUAUAGAUUUGAAUGUUAGCUAACCAAGGAAACUGGUCUUGCUCAAUUUGGAGAUGUAGAACUCCAGUUAUGGGUUACCAACCGAAACUAAGUCGUGACUGAUUAUGUAGGGCAAUAGGAUUGAUUAGUUGAUAAACGAUUUUAACUAUCUUGGAGGCAGAACUAGGUUCUCCUUCCUCAGAGAAUUGGUAGCCUCAUGUCUUAGCUUUCUAACGAGAUAAAACUCACUUAAAAUGGAGUUUUAGAACUUUAGAUAUAGUUUAAAAUCUGAUGAGUGUUCGGACAGUAACAGUUCAAAGUUAGACAUUAACGGUUCAAAGUCAGACAGUAACAGUUGGAAAUUUAGACAGUAACAGUUCAAAAUUAGACAGUAAUGGUUCAAAAUUGGACAGUAACAAUUCAAAGUUAGACAGUAACGGUUUAAAGUCAGACAGUAACGGUUCAAAAUUGGACAGUAACAGUUCAAAGUUAGACAGUAACAGUUUAAAGUCAGACAGUAACAGUUGGAAAUUUGGACAGUAACAAUUCAAAAUUAGACAGUAACAGUUGGAAAUUGGACAGUAACAAUUCAAAGUCAGACAGUAACAGUUCAAAGUUAGACAGUAAUAGUUGGAAAUUGGACAGUAACAGUAGACUUUCAUGUGAAUGCUAUAAAUAAGAAUAUAAAAGAAUUGAGUCAUACGAACGCUUACACAUUGAGAUACUAAGUUUGAAAAUAUACAUGAUAUAUGUAUGUAUGUUUUUAUGAGGAAAUGAACAUGCAUAGAAAGUAACAUAUGAGUAAUGGAUGAAUAUGAAUUCUCUAUAAUAUCGGCUUGAAGGAAUCAUAACCAAAAAACUUCCUUGUGAUUCAGGAGGAGCAACCAUGAUUGGAUUUUCUGUUAGGGGAGGUCGCGAGACAGGCGAAGCAGAUGCGUGAUUUCCCUCCUAUUUGCACUUAUAUAAUCUAAAAUUUGUCUGGUGAAGUCAAUUACAAUAAAUAUCGUGUUCAAUGUAAAUAAAAAUAUAUCGUAAAUACAAGAAUAGCUUCGGCUAAUGGCAUCCGUGAUAGGAUUGCCGGGAGAUGACCCACAAGAUUAGUUUCGGCUAAUGGCAUCCGUGAUAUGAUUGCCGGGAUAUGAACCACAAGAUUUGCUUCGACUAAUGGCAUUCGUGAUAGGAUCGCCUGGAAAUGGAUUACAAGAUUUGACCUUGCAAGGUCACCCAGUUCAUGUAAGUAAAUAAGAUUGUUUGAUUAAGAAUAUACAAAUGAGUGUUAAUUGGGUUUAAAAGAUUUACAAGCAAAAUAUAAGUUCUCUGUUAGAAUUCUUAUGGUUCGAUAAAAAGUUAAUACUUCAUUUGUAUUUAUUACAUGAGCAUACAUAUAUUCCUUAUCAACAUAAUGGUAUAUUUAUUAUGUAACAGGUCCAUCAAACAUCCAAGAAGAUCAUUAGUUUAGGACUCUACUUUAUAAAGCUUAUGUAAAUAUUUAACUUAAACAAAAGGGAAUUAACGUGUUUAUGUAGUAUAUUUUUUUGUAAACCUUGAUGUAUUCAUAAAAGUUCAGCUUGGCAUUUAGUAUUUUAAUUAUCUUGUAACUAACCCUUUUGAAAUAUUUAGGAACACUUAUUAUGUUGUAAAUACUUUCUUUGUAUGUUAGUACUCCUUUUCUCUUAAAUUUUAUGAUAUGAUGUUUGGACUAUGUUCAUAUUGGUCUUACUCGUAGGAUAUAUAUAUUGUGUGGAAUUAUGAGGGUUGAUAUAAGGUCCGGAAUUAUGGGACCUUGUGAUGAUGGGUUGAUUAAGUAAAUUGAUAGUAGUCGAUAACUUGGGAUGUCCUAAAUGCAAAAGAAACUCUGCUGAAUUUUUGAAAAAAAAAAAUUACCCUCAAAUAAAGAGGAUAUGUUGUGAUCUUUUACAUUGAUUGAGUCCUAUAGUCGGACUGUUACAGGUUGAGGGCUCUAAGGUGCACUCAAAAUGAGAUAGGGUUAGAAAACACACUACCCAAAAGGUGAGGGCUCUAAGACACACUCAAAAUGAGAUAGGGUUAGAAAACACACUACCCAAAAGGUGAGGGCUCGAAGGCGCAUUAAAAAAGAGGUAGGGUUGGAAAACACACUACCUAAAAUGGUUGAGGGCUCUAAGGCGCACUCAAAAUGAGGUAGGGUUAGAAAAUGCACUACCUAAGGUGUUCGAGGGCUCAAAGGCGCACUCAAAAUGAGAUAGGGUUGAAAAACACACUACCUAAAAUGGUCGAGGGCUCAAAGGAGCACUCGAAAGGAGGUAGGGUUGGGAAAAAAACACUACCCAAAAGGUGGUCGACGGCUCAAAGGCGCACUCGAAAAGAGGUAAGGUUAGAAAACACAAUACCCGAGAGAUAAUAGCUCAGAGGCGCAUUCAAAAGGGAGAUAAGGCUAGAAAGCACACUAUAUAAAUGACAAGGGUUCAAUAGCCCCCUCAAAAAGAGGUGACGAUGAGACACCGAUAUAUCAGGGAUGAAAGAAAUGCAUCAUGAUCAAUAUGCAUGUAUACUUACCUGAGAAAUAUAGGUCCCCUUUUCUUCAUGGAGUUUCUCCCUUUUUCUCCAAAGUUUGAGUCUCUAAUAGUAAGCUUUGAUGGCUCUUUCUGCUCUUGCUUACUCGAGUUAUAUUUUGUAAUCUUGACCUCUAAGAGGGGUAUGACAUCAGCAUACUUCUUUGCCCAUAAACUUUUAUCUAAGGGAUUGCCAGCUUUGCACUAUAUCUCAUGUUUUCUUAGAAAGGGAAUCAUGGAGCCAGCCUUAUGUGUUUUGGUGGAUUGCCCCCCAGUUUGAUCAUGUCUCCAAGUGUUCAAUUUGGGUUUUUCUUGGGGAUGAAGCUAUGUGGAAGAAGAUUUUGUUAUUUACAAGGAGUUGUUUUCACAAAGAACUUUUGGAAUUUCAAAGUUAUUCCAAAAAAUCAUUUUGAUGUUUGUUCAAAACAAACUUGUUCUGAAAAAUUCAAGUGAUUCUCAUGGAUAGGUUUGCAUGAGUGUUUGAUUGGUCAAAAUGAGUUCAAGAUCCAAUCUGAGGGUUUCAAAGAACUAGUUUUCAAAACAUUCAUUUUGCUUGCAUGAAUAAUGACUUGUUUCACAUGGGAAAACAAAGUCUACCGAUCCAGAUUAACUGCCUUUGAUCAGAAAUGGCUUGAUUGGGCACGUAACGUAGGCUUUGGCUCUUGGCUAUGAAGAAAAAGAAUAUUUAUAGGCUCAAAAGGUGUUUAAGGGAUUUCAAGACUGAGGAUCACUAGUGCAGAUUGGUCCCUGGUCUCGGAUUUCUUCAAUUUAACCCCUAAUUGACCCCAAAACUUUAAUUUUCUUGCAAUUUGGCCCCCAAUUUCAAUCAAUUAACUUGGUAAAAAUUAAAUUUGGUCUUUUAAAAUUCCAAUCUUCUCAAUUAAGCCCAAAUUAAGCUCCCAAACUUAAUUUUUCACCAAUUAAGCCCCAAAUACAAUUAAUUUGACGAGUUUAAAGUAUAAUUAAGUGCUUGCACUUAAUUAAAUCCUUCAAUUAGACCCAACUUAAUUCUUAAAAUUUAAUUUGGCUCAUAAUUAAAUCAAAUUGGCAUAUUAAAAAUUUAAUUAUGUCUUUGGACUUAAUUUUUCACUAAUUAAGCCCCCAAAUAAAACUAAUUUGACCCAUUUAAAGUAUAAUUAAGUCCUUGCACUUAAUUAAAUCCUUUAAUUGAACCAAAAUUAAUUCUCAAACAUAAUUAAAAUUCAAUUUGGCCCAUGAUUAAAUUAAAUUGGCCUAUUAAAAAUUUAAUUAUGUUCUUGGACUUAAUGUUUAUGCAAAUUCAUCCAAUAAUCAUUUAAUUUGACCUUGAAUUUGUAUUGUUUUCUCCGUUUUGUUUAGGCAUAAUGGGGUACAAUUAGGCCUUGAAUUUUCCUCAAAAAUUAUAGCUUGAUUUCUCGGCCUACUUUCUCUACAUUGCCAGUUUUUAUUUUAUUUUUUGAUUUUUUAUGAAAAAAAAAUUAUUUUUAAAAAAUAACUUAGAAUUGGAUUAUAACACUAGCCGCAGGUAUAAACUGCAUAAGGUGUUGCUUGCAGCCCUGUUUUGCCAGUAGUCAUGGAGAAAACAUAUACAAUGGAUUUCAAAUUUGAUUGGUGUGAUUAUUACAUCACCUCCUUCUAAAAUUUGGCAGAUAGCGAUUGGCAGAUAGCCACCCCUUUAAUCUUUUGUAGCACCAUUCAUUUAUCAUCGUCGCUUAACCACUUCUGUCUCUUUCUCCUUUUCAAAUCAAUAUUAAUGCUCAAGAGGAUGUUUUUUAUUUUUAUUUUUAUACACACACACGUGUGUGUGUAUAUAAGAAACAAAUAUUAAAAAAAUCACAUUUAUAUAUUAAAAAUGUUGUUCCAUAGGAAUUCAAACCCAAUGAAUGAUGACUAUAACAUAACAGCGAAGGGUAAGGAAUUAGGGUUGUUUAAAACCGUUAUAGAAAUUGUAUUUUUUAAAAAAUUAUUUUUUUAUAUUUUUAAAUUGUUUUGAUGUAUUUAUAUCAAAAUAAUUUUUUUAAAAAUAUAUAUAAUUUUUUAUGUAUUUGCAAGCAAAAAAACAUUUUAAAUCACAAUCGCUAUUAUAUUUCUAAACACCCCAUUAAUAUUUUAUAAAACACUUGGGACACAUAUUCGUCAUGUGCUGGGUUUUUUUUAAAACAUUCCUAUUUUAUAUUGAUUUUUUUUCAUGGUAUAGAUAUUAAGAAUCAUUUUAUACAUGGAAUGAUUUUUUAUUUUGAAUAAUUUUAAGAAAGAAUACCUUAUAUUAACCUAAUACAUUAAGAAAAAUAUUUUUUCUUACUGUAUGAGGUUAACCUUUGAAUUGAUAAACAAAAUAGAAGGUGAGAUGUGCACAUCAAAACCAUCUCUUACGAUGUUUACGAUGGCUGCAUCAAGUUUCCACUCUCAUGUCCACAUUUCCUCUUCUUAUUGGUCUAAAAAUGAAAGGAUAAACUAAAUUAAGGCCUCACAUGUCUCCACCUGCUUAUGAUGUAACCAUGCAUUUAUCUUAAUUAAAUUAGGCCACCGCCCCCUCCCUCCCCACCUCUAUAUAUGCACUCUCAGUAUUUCCAUCGUCUCAUCGGAUCAAAGCAUACACAAAACCAUGGUAGAAACGGUAUGAUAUAUAUAUAUAUAUAUAUAUUUGUGUGUUUUUUAUCUUUUAAUUAAUCCUCUUAAUCUGGCUUUUCUUCUUUUUACGUGGAGGUCCUAUAUAUGUACAAGUUCUUGAUAUAUAAUCUCUACAGCGGAUUCUUUCAUGUCAGAACAUGUUUGGAGUUCAUCCAAUCUAUCUGUCUAUAAAUUUAUCAUGACGUUUUUUUAUGUUUUCGAUUGGGAUUAAUCAUGGUGAGGUCCUAUAUGAAAUGCAUGCACUAACUACUAUCGUUACAGCAAGUCACAACGAUGGUGAUUAAGGUUGACCUUGGAUGUGAAAAAUGCCACAAGAAAAUCAAGAAAGUGCUGUGUGGUAUUCCUCGUGAGUCUUUCUAUUUUCUCUUUAAGAACAGUGCUUGGUUUGAGUUGUUUUUAUUACCAAAGGAAGUGAAUAAGUCUUGUGGAUUUGAUGAUGUUAAUUAAUGAACAACAGAAAUCCAAAACCAGACAUAUGACAAGAAGGAAAACACAGUGACAAUCACUGUGGUGGUUGCUGUCCUGAAAAGAUCAAGAAAAAAAUAUACAGCAAAGGAGGUCGAACUGUCAAGUGCGUUGAGAUCAAGCCGCCUCCGAAGAAAAAACCAGAACCAGAAAAAAAACCAGAACAAAAACCAGAACCACCACCAUGCCCAUGUUGUGAAAAAUGCCGCCGAGGACCAUGUUGUCAUCACUUUUGUAUGCCAACAGUACCUCCAUAUUGUUAUGUACCUUGUAGAAGGUCAGAGUGUGAUCUAUGGGGAGAUGGAUGUUGUAGUUGCCGAAGUAGAGGUUACUAUGUGUGCAGAAGUGUAAAUGUUUACGAAGACUACCCCCCAACAUGCAAAAUCAUGUAAAGGGCAAUCAAGUUCGGAAGACCGAUGGUUUGAGUCAACGUCCAGCAUCGACCGUCGGAUUCAAAUCCAGUGGUCAUGUUUUGAUUAAAAAAAAAAAUCCAGUGGUCAUGAUGGACCUUCGUGUUGUUGUGUUUAUAAUAUCAUCCCUUUUGUGAUGUUGCUGUUGUUUUGACCUCUUUCAUCUAGCUAGAUGAUGCACGACUUUGUGCCUAGCUUGUAUUUUCAAGUCAAUGGUCACAGUUUUUCCAUUGUUAAAUGGCUUGUUUCAUGUUUGUUCAGUAAAUAUGUGGUACGACCUGUUUGUUUAUUGAAAAAUAAUUUAAUUUUAAAAAAUAUGAGAAAAUAAAUUAAUUUUUGAUAUUUAGUAGUGUAAUGAAAAAUAAGUUCGAAAAUAUUUUUCAGUAUUUGGUUAUGUCAUGGAAAUUAAAUGAACUGGAAAAUAACUUAUUAAUAUUUUAUUUUUUUCAAGUUUAUUAAAAUAAUGAGGAACAAAUCUUAUAAAUUGAAAAGUUGAUUGAGAAUCAAAUUGAAAAAAAAAUCAUAAAUUAUCUAAAAUAAAAUAAAUAAUAAUUAAAAUAAUAGAGAUCAAAUCUAAAAAAUAAAAAAUUUGAAAGAUGAAAAAAUUAAAAUAAUAGUAAUUAACAUUUCAUAAGUUAUUUCAAAUAAAAUAUGUAACCAUCAAAAGAAUAAGAAUCAAAUUUGAUAGAUAAAAAAAUUCAAUUAAAAAAUGAUAAAUGAAAAGAAAAAUAAAAUGAGGACCAAAGUUAAUAUAAAAUUUAAAUUCUAAAGGAUGAAAUUGAAAAACAAAUAUUCAAAACAAAAUAUAUAUAGCAAUCAAAAGUUUGGGGAUCAAGUUUGAUAUAAUUAGCAAAUAAUAUGACAUUUCUAAAGUUUUCACAAUUUUCGAAAAGUAUUUUCCGUCCAAAAUAAAAAGAAAACACUUUUCUGGAAACUAAGCCAAAUUUUUAUUUUAUUGGAAAAUGUUUUCUAUUAACUGGAAAGUAUUUUCUAUUGACUAAUUUUUCUAAUAAUAAAUAAAUACAAAAAAAUAUAAAAAAUAAUUUUCUAAAAAUCACUCUUUUAGAAACAAACACACCUAUCUUUGUUUUUUAUGCUAUCUUAUCCUUGUAUAGGCCUAGGAUUUUGUCCCUUUGGAUGUUUUCUUCCAAAGUGCUAUUAUCUGUUUAAAAAAACCCCUCUCCAUCUAUUCUCUCGUCAUUUGUUGCCGGAUGAAAUGCCCAGAAACAACACCAUUCGACCGUACUUCGUCAAUGAUAGUUUUCUUAUAAUAUUAUUUUUAUUUUAAAAUAUAUUGAAGUAAUGUUUUUUUUUAAAUAAAAUUAUUCUUGAUAUGAAAUCAUUAAAACUAUUUAAAAAUAUUGACUUGGCCAGUGACUAGACUGGGUUGGCUGGGUCUAGCUCAGCUCAUGUGGGCUGAGCUAGGCCUAGCCCCAAAAAAAAUAAAAAAAUAAAAAACAGAAAAAUAAAAAAGGUAGAAAAAAUAAAAAAAUAAAAAAUGUGUAUACAUGAAUAAAAAAUAAUGUAAAUUUAUUGGUUUAUUCACUGAUGCUAGAGUUAAGAAUAAAAAUAUCAGUUUUAAUUUAUAUUAUUUUUAUUCGUUGUAUUUUAUUUUAUUUAGCUAGAAAAAUAAAAAAUAUAUGCAUGCAUAAAAAUAAAUUUAUUUUUAUUUAUUUAUUCAUCGGCGCUAGAGUUGGGAAUAAAAAAUAUUGAUCUAAUUUAUUUUAUAGCUACGUGAUAUUUACCAACGCCAGAGAUGGAAGUAUCCGUAGUUGAAUAUUCACUGGCGCCAGAGUCAGGAAUAUUAUAAGCAAAUUAUCAUAGCAUAAACUAAUAAACAUUUAGCAAUUUAAGAUGAAACUAGCAAUGCAGCCUGCCUCAGGCAGGACGUUUAAGGAGUGAUAAUAUCUUCCCUUUUAUGUAACCAGUCCUGAACCAUAGAAUCUCUAUUGACCAGUUAGGAUUCCUAGUGACCAUAAUACUAGGUGGCGACUUCUUAAAUAAGACAAUUCCCCAUUAAAGAACAAGAUGCCAGAAAAUCCGUUCUUUCCAUGAAUAAUUUUUAAGGUCACCGCGAUGUCGGGUGCGACAUCUGUCACUCAUGACAUGUUGAAGAAUUGACCUACAUUUUUAUUGGGUCUUAGGGCUCACUAUUCUUAUGGCAGACUCUCAGUCAAAUUAGGAUGUUUGGCAUUGUCAGUUUCCUGAAUUAGAUUAGGAGAUCUUUUUUUUACUAACCCGAUUGCUGCUAGAUUUUGUUCUUCAAAACGAUUUUAUAUCACUUCAAAUCCUUUAUCAAAGUUGUAGUCCUUGAUGCGUAGAUGAAUUUGGGUUUUUGAAUAGCUUGAUUUCGAUAUCAGAAGCUCAAGAUAUUCCCGUUUGAAUAUCUAAACAUGAAAGUAGAGAAUUUUGCCGCGAGAAGGAUUCUGACCUGAGUUUCCAGGUUUGAUUCGAGGGACCUAAUUGCAAGAAUCUUAAAGUUUGAAGGCCAAUUGUGGGCCAAUGUAAAGGACUUUUUUCGGACUGGGAUUGAAUUAAAAAAAUACUAAAAUAAGGGAGUUGAUUGAACGUCUAAAUUGGUUUUUUUGGACCAAUAUUAAAUUGGUUUUUUUAAUAUAUUUAGAUGAAUUUAAUACUUUGAUGUCAAAAAAAAAAUCAAAACAAAUUUAUUAUAAUGUAUUUUUAAACUAAAAACACUCUUAAAACACAAUGAAUCGCAAUAACAAACAUUACUCCGAGGAUGUUUGUGAGUAUAAUAGUGGUUAUUUUUUAAUGUUCUUUUUAUUUAAGAAUAUAUCAAAAUAAUAUAUUUUUAUUUUAUUUUUAAAAAUUUAUUAUUCAUAUCAGCACAACACAUAAAAUAAUAUAUAUAUAUAUAUAUAUAUAUUAAUUUUAAACAAAAAAUAGUUUUUGGUACCGAAAAAUGUCUUCCAUGACCCGUGGUGGCAUAAAUUUCAAAGUAAAAUCACCUUCUUCUUUUUUUUCUUUUUUAGUUCCACGACACUGUAAAUUGACAAUAAUAGGAUAGGACGCUGGAUUGAUUGGAUAAUUUCUUUUGUAGUUUUGCACUUAUGGACAAUUUCUGGACCCCAUAAUUUUUUUUGUUAACUUCUCUCCCUUGUGCCCACACAUAGCAAUUGGCAGAUAGCCACCCCUUUAGUCUUUUGUAGCACCAAUUGCAAUUAGCAUCGUCGCCUAACCCCUUCAGUCUCUUUCUCCUUUUCAAAUCGAUAUAAAUGCUCAGGAGGAUUUUUUUUUUUCAUAUAUAUAUAAUUGUGUUUAAGUUGGAAAGAUGGUAAUUUAAUAUUUUUAAUUUAUUUUAAUAUUUUGAUAUGUUAAUAUCACCAAUAAAAAAAAUUAUUAGUUUAAUAUUUUUUAAAAUAUAUAUAUUUUUUAAAAAAACAUCACAGGAAAUAUUAAAAAAAUAACAAUUAUAUAUAAAAAAUCAUAAUUUAAAACUUUUUCUUUAUAUUUUGUUAAAAAUUAUUUUUUAAAAUAUUUUCAGAUCGUUCUGAUGUAUUGAUAUUAAAAUAAUUUUUAAAAUUUUUAAAAAAUAUUAUUUUAAUAUAAUUUAAAAAAAAAAAAACACUUUAAAUUACAACCAUUACAAUAUUUUUAAAUACCUCAUUAAUAUUUUAUAAAGCACUUGGGGCACAUGCCAGUGGGCGUGCAUGGAGCGUAAUUGAACAUCACCAAACUAAUGUGCCUUAGGAUAGAUACAAUUCAACCUUUAUAUUAGCGUUGUUCAUAAAUAUGAUUCGGUGAAGUAACACAAUUUUAAUAUUUUGUAAAUUUCACUUAUUUAAUUUUUAUUUAUAUCCAAUCGAGUCAUAAGAUAUAUGUUAAAUAUUUUAUGAAUAUUAUAUAUAUUUACAAAUUAAGUUUAUGUUGUUAAUUUUUAUAAAUUAAGUUUAAUUAAUGCUCAAUAAAUUAGCUUAAAUUUUUUUUAUAAGUUUUAACAAAUAAUUUAGACUUAAUACAUUAACUAAAUUAAUUAACUAAAAUAAAAGAAUCAAUUGCAAAAAAAUAAAAAUAAAUACAAGACAUAUAACCAACAAAUAUUUAAGUUUUUUGUUAUAGGAUAUAUACAUGCUAGGUUGAGUUUUCUCACUUUGUAAUAUUUAAUUUUUAGAUUUUUUAACUAGUUAUCGUUUAUAAUAUCUACAUAAUCUGAUCUUAACGGGUUGGGUCAAAUUAGAUAAUACAAAUAUUAUAAAUAGGUUAGUUUUUUAAAACCACUCUAUUUUAUAUUAAUUUUUUUUCCUAGUAUUUUCAAGUCAAUGGUCACAUUUUUUCCAUUGUUGUUGGCUUGUUACAGGUUUGGUCAGCAAAUAUGGGAGGCUUUACUACCUACUCUUUGUUUUUUUAUGCUAUCUUAUCCUUGUAUAGUACUCGGAUUUUGUCCCUUUGAAUGUUUUCUUCCAAAGUGCUUUUAUUUGUUUCAAAAAACCCCUUUCUAUCUAUUCUCUCGUCAUUUUUUACCUGAUGAAAUGCCCAGAAACAUCAUUCGACCGCAAUUUGUUAAUGGUAGUUUUCUUAUAAUUUUUUUUUUUGGAAUAAUUUUUUUUAAAAAACAAUUAUUUUUAAUAUUAACAUAUUAAAAUUAUAUGAAAAUUCAACCAUACUUUAUCCCUCAAUAUUUUUGUUUAUAUUUAUUGAUCUUCUGAUAAUGAGUCACCUUAGCUAUCCAUCCAAAAUAUAAUAAAAUAAAAACCGCAAAUAGAUCUUAAUGAUUUUUCAAACAAAGUCUUCAAGCCAACCACGAAAAACAUUCAAGUUGGGGUUUCAAUUUGCUUCCCGGUGAACACAGUCAGUAAGCAACAUGUUUUACGGGACGUCUAAGGACUGGCUAUGGUAUUAUCCAUAUAAUUUUGCAAAUUUUGAAAAACAUGUUUUGCAAAUUUUGUUAAUUAAUUGAUAAUAUAUUUUUCAUUCAAUAAAACCUUAUGAAUAAACUCAUAUAAUUUAUAAGAUUUUACGCAGGGAGACCAUCCUCUGUGAUUAAACAGUAAGGUCAAGAAGCUUGGUGAGAUAUAUAAUAAAUAUUGUUGUAGGGUCACGUACGUAGUUACACUAUUGCAAAUAAAAGCAAAAGGUUCCAUUUUCCAAGGUGAUGGUGAUGGUGCUGGUGCGUGCACCUCCGUUUCUUUCACUUUCAUGCUGUGUUUAUUUCUUGAAAAAUUAUUUUUAAGAAAUUAUUUUUAUGUUUUUUUAUUAUUAAAAAAAUUGGUUAACAAAAAAUAAUUUUCGAUCAACGAAAAAUACUUUUCAGUCAAAGAAAAAUUUAGCUUGGUUUUUAGGAAAGUGUUUUUCUUUUAUUUUGGAAGAAAAACACUUUUCAGAAAUUAUGAAAAAUUUAAAAAUAUCAUAUUAUUUGCUGAUUAUAUCAAAUUUGAUCCUCAAAUUUUUUAUUUUUAUAUAUAUAUUUUAUUUUGAAUAUUUGUUUUUCAAUUUCAUCAUUUAGAAUUUAAUUUUUAUAUUAACUUUGAUCCUAAUUUUUAUAAUUGUUAUUUGCUUUUUCCUUAUCAUUUUUUAAUUGAAUUUUUUUAUCUAUCAAAUUUGAUCCUCAUUCUUUUGAUUGUUAUUUAUUUUAUUUGAAACAAAUUUAUAAAUAAUAAUUAUUAUUAUUUUAAUUUCUUCAUCUUUCAAUUUUCUUAUUUUUUAGAUUUGAUUUCUAUUAUUUUAAUUAUUAUUUAUUUUAUUUGAGAUAAUUUAUGAAAUUAUAUAUAUAUUUUAAAUUUCAUUAUCAUUUAACUUUUUAAUUUGUAAGAUUUGUUCCUUAUUAUUUUAAUAAACUUGAAAAAAAUAAAAAAUUAAUAAGUUUUUUUCCAUCUUAUUUUUUUAUGACAUUAUCAAAUACUGAAAAGUAUUUUUUAACUUAUUUUUUAUUAUAUUAUCAAACAUUAAAAAAUAAUUUACUUUCUUAGAAUUUACUUUUCAAAAAAAUUUUAUUUUUCAGCAAAUAAACAGGGACUCAAUUGCUUUCUUCAAUCCUUGAUCGUUUGAUUGCUUCCGUAGUGUACACGUGAGCAUGCUUGUUUCCUGGAAAAAAUGGUGCAAGCUCAGCCAUGCCUCAUGAUCCAAACGAGAUAAUGCAAUUUUGAUUAUUAUAUAUUCUAUAAAUUAAUUAGGAUUGUACUUGGAGAGAAGAGUUAGUAAUCCCUUUAUCAGCAUACAUAAUAAUCGAAGACCAAUUUCCUUUUCAUGAUGUAUAGUUUUAUAUGAGGCCAUGUAAAGCUCUCUUAAUCUGGAGAUAUAUUAUCAUUGGUUGACGUUAUUUGACUCGUUUCCUCCUUUACACAUUAAUUAAUUGGUGGGGAUGACAGGAGAAGAAUGCUACCAUGGGAUAUGUUAGCGAGCUGUCAAUGAAAAUGUAAGGAAGCAAUGGAGAUUUUAAUUUGAAGGCGUUAUGAAAAUCUCCAUUGACUUGUACAGUAGUAAUAGUUAAAAUGUUUUACUUAAAAAGUUAACUUUUAAAUUUCAAGUUGAAAAAAAAUAUAUUGAUAUGACUAAAUUUGAUUAAUCAAACUAAAUUUUUAAUUAUUUGAUUUAUUCGAUCAAUUUCUAUCAAAACUUGACCUGGUUAACAUUAUUGUUUUAAAUAAUAAAACAACACGCUUUAAUAAUAAAAAAAUCAGCCGCAAUUAACUCGAUUAAUUAAUUUGUACUUAGUUUUCACAUAAAAUUAUAAUUUUUUUCUUUUAAUAGGAGCAAUUGUGUAUAAAUUAUUUUUUAAAAUUUUUAUUUAAUUAUUUUUGUGUGUGUCAAUUUCUAUUAUCGUUUGAUUAAAUAGAAUAUUAAGUCUAAUAAACAAAUUCAUUAAACACAACCAAGUACAUGGUUCAUGUUACUAGAUUAAAUAUUUUGAUCUAUAUUUAUCUUUUGAUUUCUCAAAUUUAAUCCUUAAUUAUUGUUAAUGAUUUGCUUUUUUAUUUAUUAGUACAAAUAAUUCUAAAUUUAUUUAAUUAAAUGUAUACAUAAGUUUUUUUUAUAUAAUAAGAAUUUUUAACAUUAAUAAAAUAUAAUAAAAGAACUUGAUUAUUUAUUUAUUUAUUUUAUUAGAAAGAAUAAUAUCUAACCCACAAUAAAGCACUUGCCCGAUAGCCGCGGGUAUAAACUGCAUAAGGUGGUGGUUCAGCCCUGUUUUGCCAGUAGUCAUGGAGAAAACAUAGACAAUGGAUUUCAAAAUUGAUUGGUGUGAUUAUUACAUCACCUCCUUCUAAAAUUUGGCAGAUAGCGAUUGGCAGAUAGCCACCCCUUUAAUCUUUUGUAGCACCAUUCAUUUAUCAUCGUCGCUUAACCACUUGUGUCUCUUUCUUCUUUUCAAAUCAAUAUAAAUGCUCAAGAGGAUGUUUUUUAUUUUUAUUUUUUCACACACACACAUAUAUAUAUAUAUAUAUAUAUAUAUUUGUGUUUAAGUGGGAAAGAUAUUAAUUUAAUAUUUUUAAUUUAUUUUAAUAUUUUGAUGUGUUGAUAUUAAAAAUAAAAAAAAAUAUUUUUUAAUAUAUUUUUUUAAGAAUAUAUAUAUAUAUAUAUAUUUAAAAGGAAAAAAUAUUAAAAAAAUCACAUUUAUAUAUUAAAAAUGUUGUUCCAUAGGAAUUCAAACCCAAUGAAUGAUGACUAUAACAUAACAGAGAAGGGUAAGGAAUUAGGGUUGUUUAAAAACGUUAUAGGAAUUGUGUUUUAUUUAAAAUUAUUUUUUUAUAUUUUUAGAUUGUUUUGAUGUAUUAAUGUUAAAAUAAUUUUUUUAAAAAAAUAUUAUUUUAAUUUAUUUCAAGUAAAAAACAUUUUAAAUCACAAUUGCUACCAUAUUUCUAAAUACUACAUUAAUAUUUUAUAAAACACUUGUGACACAUGCCAUGUGCUGGGGUUUUUUUAAAACAUCCCUAUUUUCUAUUGAUUUUUUUUCAUGGUAUAGAUAUUAAGAAUCAUUUUAUACAUAGAAUGAUUUUUUAUUUUGAAUAAUUUUAAGAAAGAAUCCUUUAUAUUAACCUAAUACAUUAAGAAAAAUAUUUUUUCUUAAUGUACGAGGUUAACCUUUGAAUUGAUUAACAAAAUAGAAGGUGAGAUGUGCACAUCAAAACCAUCUCUACCAUCUCUUGCUGAUGAAAGAAAAAAAAAAAAAAAGAUUGUUGGGUCAGCAGCUACGAUGUUUACGAUGGCUACAUCAAGUUUCCACUCUCAUGUCCACAUUUCCUCAUCUUAUUGGUCUAAAAAUGAAAGGACAAACUAAAUUAAGGCCUCACAUGCAUUUUAUCUUAAUUAAAUUAGGCCGCCGCCCCCACCUCUAUAUAUGUCCUCUCCAUAUUUCCAUCGUCUCAUCGGAUCAAAGCAUACAGAAAACCAUGGUAGAAACGGUAUGAUAUAUAUAUUUGUGUGUGUUAUUUUAUCUUUCAAUGCAUCCUCUUAAUUUGGCUUUUCUUCUUUUUACGUGGAGGUCCUAUAUAUGUUACGUACAAGUUCUUGAUAUAUAAUCUCUACAGCGGAUUCUUCCAUGCCAGAACAUGUUUUGAGUUCUUCCAAUCUUUCUGUCUAUAAAUUUAUCAUGACGACGUUUUUUUAUGUUUUCUAUUGGGAUUAAUCAUGGUGAGGUCCUUUAUGAAAUGCAUGCACUAACUAGUACUGUUACAGCAAGUCACAACGAUGGUGAUUAAGGUUGACCUUGGAUGCGAAAAAUGCCACAAGAAAAUCAAGAAAGUGCUGUGUGGUAUUCCUCGUGAGUCUUUCUAUUUUCUCUUUAAGAGCAGUGCUUGGUUUGAGUUGUUUUUAUUACCAAAGGAAGUGACUAAGUCUUGUGGAUUUGAUGAUGUUAAUUAAUGAACAAUAGAAAUCCAAAACCAGACAUAUGACAAGAAGGAAAACACAGUGACAAUCACUGUGGUGGGUUGCUGUCCUGAAAAGAUCAAGAAAAAAAUAUACAGCAAAGGAGGUCGAACUGUCAAGUGCGUUGAGAUCAAGCCGCCUCCGAAGGAAAAACCAGAACCAGAAAAAAAACCAGAAAAAAAACCAGAACCACCACCAUGCACAUGUUGUGAAAAAUGCCGCCGAGGACCAUGUUGUCAUCACUUUUGUAUGCCAACAGUACCUCCAUAUUGUUAUGUACCUUGUAGAAGGUCAGCGUGUGAUAUAUGGGGAGAUGGAUGUUGUAGUUGCCGAAGUAGAGGUUACUAUGUGUGCAGAAGUGUAUAUGUUUGUGAAGAGUACUAUCCCUCGGCGCCAUGCACAAUCAUGUAAAGGGAAAUCAAGUUCAGAAGACCGAUGGUUUGAGUCAACGCCCAGCAUCUAUCAUUGGAUUCAAAUCCAGUGGUCAUGAUGCAUGGGCCUUUGUGCUGCUGUUGUGUUUAUAAUAACAUAUCCCUUUUGUGAUGAUGGACGACUUUGUGCCUAGCUAGUAUUUUCAAGUCAAUGGUCAUUGUUUUUUCCAUUGUUAAACGGCUUGUUGCAUGUUUGGCUUCAAGUCAAAGUUACAAUUAUUGCAAAUAAAAGCAAAAGGUUCCAUUUUCCAAGGUGACGGUGAUGGUGAUGGUGAUGGUGCUGGUGCUGGUGCGUGCACCUCCGUUUCUUUCACUUUUAAUUGCUUUCUUCAAUCCUUGAUCGUUUGAUUGCUUCUGUGGUGUAAACGUGAGCAUGCUUGUUUCCUGGAAAAAAUGGUGCAAGCUCAGCCAUGCCUCAUGAUCCAUACGAGAUAAUGAAAUUUGGAUUACUCGGUAAAUUGCUAUUAAAACUUAACGGGUUAACAUCAUUGUUUUAAAUAAUAAAAUGACACGCUUUAAUAAUAAUAAAAAAUCAACCGCAAUUAACUUAAUUAUUUAGUUUUUAGUUGUUUUUUUCCAUAAAAUGAUAGUAUUUUUUUAUAUAAUUUAUGCAACCCUAUAUAAUUUUUAUUUUUUUUUAUUUAAUUAUUUUAAUGUGUGUUAAUUUUUAUUAUUGUUUAAUUAAAUAAAAAAUUAAGUCUAAUAAACAAAGUUUUAAAAAACAACAAGGUACAUGAUUCAUGCUAUUAUAUUAAAUAUUUUAAUUUACAUUUAUCUCUUAAUUUUUCAAGUUAGUUUUUAGUUAUUUUUAACGAUUUUUUUUAUUAGUACAAAUAAUUCUCAAUUUAUUUAAUUGAAUGUAUACAUAGUUUUAUAUAUAUAUAUAUAUAAUCAGAAUUUAUUACAUUAAAAAAUAUUUAUAUAUUUAUUUUUUUUACUAAAAAAAAUAAUAUCUGAGCGACGAUAAAGUGGUAGCCGGUAUAAACUGCAUAAGGUAGCAUACUUGCAGCCCUGUUUUAGCCUCUGGACUUCUAGGCAGUCGUGGUCUAGCCAUGGAAGAGAUGGGCUAAUUAAUACGCCCUUUAAAACAUGGCUUUAGAGGGCAUCGGUCCAUGGCUUUCCUUGGAUUCUCUACUUUCAUGACCUGUAGAGUCAUCGCCCAACAUCAACCGUUGGAUGCAAAUCCAGUGGUCAUGAUGGACCUUAGUACUGUUGCUAGUAUUUUCAAGUCAAUGUUGAUGGCUUCUUACGUGUAUAUUAAUUAAAAAAUAUAUAUAUAUAUAAUUGUGUUUAAGUGGGAAAGAUAUUAAUUUAAUAUUUUUAAUUUAUUUUAAUAUUUUGAUGUGUUGAUAUUAAAAAUAAAAAAAAAUAUUUUUUUAAUACAAUUUUUUAAGAAUAUAUAUAUAUAGAAGGUGAGAUGUGCACAUCAAAACCAUCUCUUGCUGAUGAAAGUUUGUUGGGUCAGCAGCUACGAUGUUUACGAUGGCUGCAUCAAGUUUCCACUCUCAUGUCCACAUUUCCUCAUCUUAUUGGUCUAAAAAUGAACGGACAAACUAAAUUAAGGCCUCACAUGUCUCCACCUGCUUAUGAUGUCACCAUGCAUUUAUCUUAAUUAAAUUAGGCCACCGCCCCCUCCCUCUCCCACCACUAUAUAUGUAUAUGUACUCUUAAUAUUUCCAUCGUCUCAUCGGAUCAAAGCAUACACAAAACCAUGGUAGAAACGGUAUGAUAUAUAUAUUUGUGUGUGUUGAUUUUAUCUUUUAAUGCAUCCUCUUUGGCUUUUCUUCUUUUUACGUGGAGGUCCUAUAUAUGUACAACUUCUUGAUAUAUAAUCUCUACAGCGGAUUCUUUCAUGUCAGAACAUGUUUGGAGUUCAUCCAAUCUUUCUGUCUAUAAAUUUAUCAUGACGACGUUUUUUUAUGUUUUCUAUUGGGAUUAAUCAUGGUGAGGUCCUUUAUGAAAUGCAUGCACUAAUUAACUACUAUCGUUACAGAAAGUCACAACGAUGGUGAUUAAGGUUGACCUUGGAUGCGAAAAAUGCCACAAGAAAAUCAAGAAAGUGCUGUGUGCUAUUCCUCGUGAGUCUUUCUAUUUUAUCUUUAAGAACAGUGCUAGGUUUGAGUUGUGUUUAUUACCAAAGGAAGUGACUAAGUCUUGUGGAUUUGAUGAUGUUAAUUAAUGAACAAUAGAAAUCCAGAACCAGACAUAUGACCAGAAGAAAAAUACAGUGACAAUCACUGUGGUGGGUUCCUGUCCUGAAAAGAUCAAGAAAAAAAUAUACUGCAAAGGAGGUGAAUGUGUCAAGUGCAUUGAGAUCAUCAAGCCGCCUCCGAAGGAUGACCCUCCAAAGACACAGACACAGCCACAGCCACAGCCACAGCCACAGCCACAGACACAGCCUAAACCGCCUCCAAAGACACAGCCUAAACCGCAUAAUGAGUGCCCAACACCCCGAAGGACAUGUUGUGCUGAAUGCUCCCAAGGGAUUAGUGGAGGACCAUGUUAUCAAGACUUUUGUAUACCAACACGUCCAUGUUAUGUACCAGUGUGUGAUAUAUGGGCAGUUGGUGGCUGUAGUUGCCGAAGUAGGGGUUACUAUGUGUGUAGAUGUGAAUAUUUUUAUGAAGACUAUUCCCCGGCAUGCAAAAUCAUGUAAAGGGAAAGUUCAGAAGACCGAUGGUUUGAGUCAACGUCCACCAUCAACCGUUGGAUUCGAAUCCAGUGGUCAUGAUGGGCCUUUGUGUUGUUCUGUUUGUAAUAUCAGCCCUUUUGUGAUGAUGCACGACUUUGUGCCUAGCUAGUAUGUUCAAGUCAAUGACCACAGUUUUUCCAUUGUUGAUGGCUUCUUCCAUGUUUGGCUUCAAGUCAAAGUUACAAUUAUUGCAAAUAAAAGCAAAAGGUUUUAUUUUCCAAGGUGACGGUGAUGGUGAUGGUGAUGGUGAUGGUGCUGGUGCUGGUGCGUGCACCUCCGUUUCUUUCACUUUCAAUUGCUUUCUUCAAUCCUUGAUCGUUUGAUUGCUUCUGUGGUGUAAACGUGAGCUCAGCCAAGCCUCAUGAUCCAUACGAGAUGAUGAAAUUUGGAUUAUUAUAUAUUCUAUAAAGUAGGAUUGUACGUACUUGGAGAGAAGAAUUUAUAAUCCCUUUAUCAACUUCCUUUUCAUGAUGUAUACAUAGUUUUAUAUGAAGCCAUGUAAGGCUCUCUUAAUCUGGAGAUAUAUUAUCAUUGGUUGACUUUGUUUGACUCGUUUCUUUUCUAUCCUCCUUUACACAUUAAUUAAUUGGCGGGGAUGACAGAAGAAGAAUGCUGCCAUGGGAUAGGUUAGCGAGCUGUCAAUGAAAAUGCAAGGAAGCGAUGGAAAUCUCCAUUGACUUGUACAGUAGUAAUAGCCCUGUUGGUUGAUUCAUAAAAUUUGAGACCUAAAAGGUUAACCCGGAUUAAGUUUCAAGUUGAAAAAUAAAAAAAUGAUAGGACUAAACUUGAUUUCAGAUUAAAUUUUAAAUUAUUUGAUUUACUUGUAAAUUUCUAUCAAAAGUUAACCGGGUUAACAUCAUUGUUUUAAUAAUAAAACGACAGGCUUUAAUAAUAAUAAAAAAUCAACCGCAAUUAAAUUACUUAUUUAGUUUUUAGUUGGUUUUUAAUGAUAAUAUUUUUAUAUAUAAUUUAUGCAACCCUAUAUCAAUUUUAUUUAUUAUUUUAUUCAAUCAUUUUAAUGUGUGUUAAUUUCUAUUAUUAUUUAACUAAAUAGAAGAUUAAGUCUAAUGAACAAAGUUAUAAACACAACCAGGUAUAUGUUUCAUUCUACUAGAUUAAAUAUUUUAAUUUACAUCUAUCUCUUAAAUUUUCAAGUCUAGUCUUUGGUUAUUGUUAAUGAUUUUUUUUAUUGGUACAAAUAAUUCUCAAUUUAUUUAAUUAAAUGUAUACAUAGUUUUAUUUAUUUAUUUAUAAUCAGAAUUUCUUACAUUAAAAAAUAUAAUAAAAAACCUAUAUAUUUAUUUUUUGUACUAAAAAAAAUAAUAUCUACCCACGACAAAGUGGUAGCUGGAAUAAACUGCAUAAGGUACCUUACUUGCAGCCCUGUUUUAGCCUCUGGGCUUUGAGGCAGUCGUGGUCUAGCCAUGGAAGAGAUGGGCUAAGCUCAAUAUUAAUGAAACCCAGCAUAGAUAAUGGAUCGGUCCAUGGCUUUCCUUGGAUUCUCUAAUUUCAUGACCUGUAGAGUCAUCGCCCAACAUCAACCGUUGGAUGCAAAUCCAGUGGUCAUGAUGGACCUUAGUACUGUUUCUGUGUUUAUAAUAUCAUCCCUUUUGUGAUGAUGCUGCUGCUGUUUUGACCUCUUUCGUCUAGACUCUAGAUGAUGCACGCCUUAAUUUGUUUAGUCAAUGUUGAUGGCUUGUUUGGUCGACAAAUACGGGGAGUUUUACUACCUCCUCUUGUUUUUUAUGCUCAAAGUCCUCGGAUUUUGUCCUUUUGAAUGUUUUCUUCCAAAGUGCUAGAGCUUCGGCAAUGGUGGUUUUUUUAUAAUACUUUUUUAAAAUAUAUUUAAGUAAUAAAUUUCUUUAAAAUAUAUAUAUUUUUUUAACAACAAACAUAAAAAAGAAACUAUAUUGUUGAAAUAUAUUAGAAUAAAUUUUUUAUUUUUUUAUUUUUUAAAUUUUAUUUUUUACUCGUAAAUAUCAAAAUAAUUUAAAAAUAUAUAAAAUAAAAUUUUAAAUUUAAUUUUUUUAAAAUACAGUUUAAGAUAAUGUAAAAUUUGAAGGGGUGUAGCUUAUUUGGUAGUCUCUAGUUUUUUUUUAUAAAUUAUUACAAAUUUUAAAAUUAUUAAAAAUUUAUUUAAUUAUUAAUUUUAAGAUCGGUAAAUGAAAUGAAUAGUGAGUGCACACCGACAUUAAUUAUUUGAACUAGAAGAAGAAGAAAGUUGGCGGACGCAACUUCAGGACCCCCAAUUUGUCAGCUUUCUUCUCGAUGUCCACACAUAGGGAUGAGGAGGUAGCCAUCCCUAAUGUAUCAUUAGAGAACGUGAAUCAUUGGCUUUCUUUCUCAUUUUCAUAUCUUUAUAAAUAUAUAGAUGUUUGUCGUUUGGGGUGAUGAUAGGAAUUGGUAAUAUUUUAUUAGUUAUUUUAUAAGAUUUAAUUUUUUAAAAAAUAUAAAUAAAAAAGAGAAUAAUAAAAAUAUCUCAACUUAUUAUUUCCCUUGUAUUAUCUUUUUUUUAUAUAUAUAAAGUAAAUCAACUAAUUACUUUGCUCUAUAAAUUCAAGUUUUGAAACAGAGGAGUUCGUUAGAAUUAGGACACUUAAAAUUAUGUGUUAGUGUAGGGCGGAGGAUAAAAAUAAGAAUAUAGAAUAAAAAGUUUUUUUGUAAUAAUUUUAAAAUAAUUUUAUAUACUUUUAAAAUAAUAAAUACAAUGAUCCAAGUUUUCUAUGCCUCCUCAGUGUAUUUUUAUUAUCUUUACUCUUUUAUUUUUAUCAGGAAACAACGAUCAAACACCGGCUAAAUUCCUUUAAACAUGAGACAUGGAAAUAUUAAUUGAAGAUUUUUAAUUUUAUGUGGGGAAUUUUUUGGGGACACGUGUACGGUUGUCAUGGGGGUUGCAUGGCUCAUUUAUGGACUUGACUAAACUAAUGCACCGUCGGAUGCACUACAACCUUCGACAUGAUUAACAAAAUUGAAGGUGAGAUGUGUCCAUCAAGGCCAGCACAUGCAUGUGCAGGUUUGGACUUUGGAGGGUCAGCAAUAAAAAAUGCAACGACAAUAUUACGGCAGGCUACACACCUAAUGCCACGUGUUCUCUUCUUAUUGACCUCUAGAUGCACGGUAUUUAAACCAUGGUCUCACACUUCUUCCACUUAAGCUGUGACUUGUGAUCACUCUUAACUUCAUAAGCCUCCAUUUUGGCAUCUCAAUCUCCCUCUCACCCUCCGGUCUGUUCCUUCACCCUGCCCACAAUUCUAUAAUCGCAUCAGGUCCAGAUCAAAGCUUCGACAAAACCAUGGCUGAAAAGGUAUGUGCAUUGAUGGAUGUGGGGAUUAUGAUAUAUUUCCUUCUUCUUCUUUUCUUGGUUUCGAUUUGUCUUUUAUUUAGCCCAUUCAUUUGGGUUUUCCUUCUUUUUAUGUGGCGGUCCUUGUUUUUGGCCCUAUGGACCUCAUCUUCUUGUUCACUCUCUUUACUGAUCAAUAUCCUUCCAUGUCAGAAAGUGUUCCGGUCCUUUCAAUAUUCUUCAUGGCUUAGAAAUUAUGUCCUUGUUUUUAUGUGCUCCUUUUGCAGAAAGUCACAACAAUGGUGAUCAAGGUUGACCUUGAAUGUGAGAAAUGCCACAAGAAAAUCAAGAAAGUACUGUGUAGAAUCCCUCGUGAGUGCCUCCUUCUCCAUGUACUAUAUCUUAGUUUGAGCUGAUUAAUUUAAGAUGAAAGGAAAGUGGCUAAGUUGUUUUUGUGGAUUGUGAACAAGAGAAAUUCAGAACCAGAUAUAUGACAAGAAGGCAGGCACAGUGACCAUCACUGUGGUAUGUUGCAGUCCUGAAAAGAUCAUGGAAAAGAUUAUCUGUAAGGGAGGUGAAGCUGUCAAGAGCAUUGAGAUCAAGGUUCCAGAGAAACCCAAACCAGCACCGGAGAAACCCAAAGCAGCACCAGAGAAACCCAAACAACCGGAGAAGCCAAAAGAACCUGAGAAGCCUAAGGCACCAAGCAGACAACCGGACGAUCCUUCAGACACAGUUGAUGGCGAUGGCAGGCCCAAAGGACCACUCAAGCCCCAAGGACUUAUUGUUGAACCAGUCCACCCAAGGACAUGUUGUGUUGAACACUACCGAGGUAUUAGUGGGGGCCCAUGUUAUCAUGACUAUGGCAGGCCAGCACCCCCAUGUUAUGAAGCUUACGGACGGCCAGUGUAUGAUAGUUGGUCUGGCGGCGGCGGCGGCUAUGGUUGCCAAAGAAGCGGUUACUAUGCGUGCAGAGGUGAAUAUGUCUGUGAAGAUAAUCCCUCGUCAUGCACAAUCAUGUGAAAGCAUCAAGAAUGUCGAUGCUUUAAGCCGAUCUCCACCAAAAAUCACUGGAUUUGGACAUUAGUAUGGUGUCGAUAUGAUCAAACUAAACAAUAGCAUUACUCAUGCGCAUGUCAUAACCUUGUCUAGCUAGCUCUAGUUGUCUAUGUUGAAAUGUUGGGGUCAGUUUUGGCUGCAUAUUGGGUCUUCGAUCUUUCAUCGUUAUUAGGAUUUUAUGUGAUAC